rnacentral:lncRNA from 1 species
CAACAAAAAGGUUGUGAUAUUGUUAGGUACGUGCAAUGUGGUUGUGAUAGGUCUAGAAAACCAAGAAAUAGGCAUGUUACUAAGAGGAGGAAUUGUCGUGCUAGAAUAAAUGGAAUUUUGGAGGAUAAUGGUUCAUGGCGUGUUUCAAAGGUGGUAAAAAAAAACAUAAUCAUCAAUUGCAACCAGCACUAUCGCGAUUGAUGGUUGGACACAGAUUGCUUAGCAAGUCUCUUAAGAGAACUCUUGCAGCCAAAGAUAUUGUUGUCUUAAGACCCUCAAAAAAUAUAAUUGUCGCUGAAGUACUUGCUGAUGGCCCCGAAAAUAUGCGUUGUACACCAAAGGACUGUAGAAAUUAUAUCUUGAAGAGUAGAAAGCUUCAGUUGCAAGAAGNNNNNNNNNNNNNNNNNNNNNNNNNNNNNNNNNNNNNNNNNNNNNNNNNNNNNNNNNNNNNNNNNNNNNNNNUAAAAUGUAGAAAGCUUCAGUUGCAAGAAGGGGAUGCACAAUCAUUACUCAAGUUAUUCAGUGACAUGAUACAAAAAGAUAGGGAAUUUUACUACUCCGUAGAUGUGGAUAGUUUUGGUCGAAUUCGUAUUGUCAUAUGGAUUCAUUCACACUUUAAGGUUGCAUGUGAGGAGUUCCAUGAUGUAAUAUGCCUUGAUACCACAUGCCUUGUGAAUCGAUACAAUAUGCCAUUUGCUUCAUUUAUUGGUGCCAAUCAGCAUAGGCAGUCCAUACUUUUGGGAUGUGCUAUUAUGUCUAGUGAGGAUAUAGCAAGUUACCAAAUGGUGCUCUCUACAUAAAUUAGGGGUCUAAACAAUAUUAAUCCAUUAGCUAUCAUGACUUACCAAUGUGAUAGUAUUAAGGUUGCCAUCAGUGCAAUGAUGCCUAAUAUAAUACAUAGAUAUUGUAUAUGGCACAUAUUUGCAAAGUUGCCUACAAAGUUAUGCAGAGUUCCUGAUGCAAAAAUUGCAAAGGCAGAAUUUAAGGUUUUAGUUCCUUACAGCAUUCUUGAUGAAAAGAUUGCAAUACAAAAUAUGACGGAUUAUAGUAGCAAAGUAAGUAGGUUGGUGCAUUCUCCAUAGGGUUCGAUCAAGAGUUACCUUUGGAAUUUUACACUAAAUAUAUCGCCACUUCCUACUUAAGAUGCUUGUUCUAACAGCAUAUGGUAAAGGCAUCCGUACCAUAAUAUUAUCAAUAAAAUCGUCAGGGAGGUUGCCUAGUAUAUCGAAGGGUAAAUUUCUAAUGCAGUUUCUUUACAACUACAGCCAUUGUUAGACUUAGAUAAUAGUAAAAUCAAAGAAGAUGAAGUAAAAAGUGAAGAUUGUGAUUAUGGAAGAAGAAGAUGAAAGAAACAUGUUGACAACUCGAUAUUUUGAAGAUGGAGCACCAAAAGACCAUGGACGGAUCAACUUAUAAACCUAAAUUUUAGGGGUAUCGAUUAAACAAUCCCAAGGUAGAUAUGUAUUGAGCCCUAAUUUAGAAUUCAAAUGUAUAUAAAAGAACGUCUAAAAUGCAUCAAAGUUAAUAUUGGUUCAUUGGUUAAGUAAGCGUAUCUACUAAGCAGCCGUCUCGAGAUCGAAUCUCACCUUUAACAUGGUGUAUUCUAAUAUUUUCCAAUCAAGCCAAUUUAUAUUUUUUUCAGUUUUAUUUCAAAAAGGGGUAAACAAUUAGUAACAUUUUUUAUCUACUUAAUUUACAUUUUGAAAAAAAUAGGUUAAACCAUUCCUUUUUUUAAAGGGUCAAACCAUUCUCUUUUUUAAAAGGUCAAACCAUUCUUUUCUUUGGGGUCAUUGUAAUGUCGGCCGUCUAGAUAAUAGCCGUUUAUGGUAAGCUCAUACAUAUCAGCCUAUACCAACCAUAUAAGUCCAUUCACUACUAUGAUUUUAGUAAGGUAAUUAUAUCGUUCUGGUUCGUAGUAAUGUCGGCCGUCUAGGUAAUAGCCGUUUAUAGUAAGGUCAUACGUAUCGGCCUAUAGCAACCAUAUAAGUCUAUUCACUACUAUGAUUGUUGUAAGGUAAUUGUAUCGUUGCGGUUCGUUGUAAUGUCAGUCGUCUAGAUAAUAGUCAUUUAUUGUAAGGUCAUAUGUAUCGGCCUAUAGCAACCAUAUAAGUCCAUUCACUACUAUGAUUGUAGUAAGGUAAUUAUAUCAUAGUGGUUCGUAGUAAUGUCAGCCGUCUAAGUAAUAGUUGUUUAUAGUAAGGUCAUACGUAUCGGUGUAUAGAAACCAUAUGAGUCCAUUUACUACUAUAAUUUUAAUAAGGUAAUUAUAUCGUUGCGGUUCGUAGUAAUUUCGGCCGUCUAGAUAAUAGCCGUUUAUUGUAAGGUCAUACGUAUUGUCCUAUAGAAAUAUAACGUAAAUCAAGAUAAUAUUAGAACUAAUGUAUUGUAGCUUCUUUUUUAGGAGGACAAACAAGAGACAUUUUUUGACUAAAAUGUUAAAUACAUAUUUCGGAGGUAAGCAAAGGGAAAAGUAAAAAUACAAUUGGAGGGAAAUUGAAAGUUUUUACUCUUUAUAUAUCUCUUAAACACAAGAACAACAUCUCCAACUCUUUAAACAAAAUAGAUACCAUGGACAUGAAUGCUAACGUACGGAUUGAAAGAAUAGAAGAACAACAUCUUCAACUCUCUAAAUAAAUUAGAUACCAUAGACAUGAAUGCUAACGUAUGAAUUGAAAAAGAAUCUAUGCAUGGUUUCGGAUGAAGGUUCCCAAAUCGUGAAUUAAGCGUGAUUUUUGGUAACUUUUUUUUUUAUUAAAUUUUCAUGAUUUGAUAAUUUUUUAUUAUUCCAACUAGCCAUGAACUCUGAACCCUAUUUAUACAUUAUGUUCUUGCAGUUUAUUCCAAAGAGAUUAUGUGGCUAUCUUCCUCCAAUCUCGGUAAAAAAAUGAUUCGAUGUAAUGGGAAGGAGUGGUCAGUGAUUUUGAAAAGUGAUGUUCGUAGAAGAAUUAUCAAUAGGUGAAAACAAUUUGUUGUCGAUAAUAAUCUGAACAAAGGGAAUGUCCUUCGCUUUGAACUAGUUGAGGCUACAUCAGGGGUUGUGAUCUUCUCUGUUGAAGAGUUAGGAUUAACUGAUAUUUAGAUUGAUAAUUUCAUCUCUUUAAUUAUAUGUAAUGACUUCAAAUGGAUCGUAGUAUGAUUGUUCUCUUUAGUAAUGUAUUAAUAUGGUUGUUCUUUAUAAUAUUGUUUGACUUUUUCCAUUUAUUAUUGUUAUAUAUUUUUUAUUUCAAGAAGACUAAUUUUUUAUAAAUAGCCAAUUAAAAUUGGGAAGUCAUUAAACAUUGAACAAGUCCCAAUUUCUUUCUAUCAGUUUACAAACAAGAACAACACUACGAAUAUUAUUUCCUUUUUUCCAAAAACAGUUUAAAAAUCGACAUCAAAAGCUAAACCUAAAUGUAAACCUAAACAAACCUAAAUCAAAAGAGAACGUAAACCUAAUGCUAAACCUAAACCUACACAACGAUCAAAUAAUCUUUUUAAGGAUAGAAUAGGAUGGAGAGUGACCAUCGGUUAUUUUUCACUUUCCAUCAAAGUGGGUUAGUGGGGAGUUAUAACCAUAUACAACUUUCCAUAAUUUAUAUUUAUUUAACAACAAAAUAUAUUUAUGUUAAACCAACAUACUCACGUAGGUCAUAAUAUGCAAUCUUUACAUGUAUUAAUCAAGCCUUCUAAGGUAAGACUAUAUGAGAUAAAACCUAUGAAGUGCACUAGCAGAAUUUUAAAAAUAAAUUAAAGAGAAACUGUCAAAAUCUGCAUAAGCGGGUGGAUAAAUUAAAGACAAGCAUCUAUAAUUAAUUGUAGUCAUGGAGAAGUGUAAUGGUGCAUACAGGAGUGAAAUAUACUACUGGAAACUGUAAUGGUUGCAUGAAGGAGUGUAAAGGUCUAUUGGGAAGUGCAAUUGAUGCAUAGAGGAGUGGAAGGGGUUGCUAUUGGGAAGUGUAAUGGUUGCCUAGGAUCUAUACAAAGACACUUUAAUUCCUACCGGGAAGUGGAAAGAGAUUAUAAUCCUCCCUAUAUAUUUUUCUGAAAAAAUAUGCUGCACCUACAUAAUACAAUCAAACUACAAAUACUACAAAGCAUAACGAUGGAUAAGACCCCGACAAAGAAACCUGUUGAACAAUCGCUGGAUGGCUCACCUGUGAGUCAUAACAUCUUGUACCAAGAUCUGAACCGUGAUUACCCAAGCUGAACCGUGAGGUUACAGAGUUGAUUUAGAGGGUGGUUCAAGAUAGUAGCAUAGAUUACCUCAAGAGUGUCAUUCUGGAAUAGCAUCCCCUUACUACGCUCUAGGCUAUGCUUGACGAUAUGCCCACACCAUCCAUCCAGAGUGGAGCUAAGAGCAAUUCUAUGAUUGUUAUCACUAGUGAUACCGAGUCCGCCUCCAAGACUUCAAAGUCUUUUUUAUUGAACCAGAAUAUUGAGUAGUUAUGAAGAUUUGUUUCGUUUCUUUUUGAUUAUGUGUUUGUUCGUCUAUGAAGUUUUCUCCCCCCCCCCCCCNNNNNNNNNNNNNNNNNNNNNNNNNNNNNNNNNNNNNNNNNNNNNNNNNNNNUUUUCCCCCCCCCCCCCCCAAUACUUUAUAUUGAUGUUUUUAUUUAUAUUUUAAUCUUAUCACCCAAUAUCGUAUUAAUGAAGCAAAUUAUUUUAUUAUUAUGGUUUGAAUCUUUUUUAUAUUUAAUAUUUUUUAUGAACUUUUUCCAGAUGAUAACCUGGGUCUUGUAUUUGCAAUAAUCGAGUUUGAUGAUACAUCAAAAGGGUAUAUAAAACCCUUCUAAAAACAGCGAGGCCUAAUGAACAUUUGAUUAAAGUUAACAAAAUAGUCCUAUCUUAAUGCACGUAUUUAAUUUAUUCGGAGCUAUUAGAGCGGGAUCCACUUUUUGGGGAAUAUGAGUCGAAGCAAUAACAAGAAUAUUUCUAGUAGAAAAAAUAAGUAAAAGCAGAAUGAAAGACAACCGGUGGCUCACUUUUUCUAAGUAAUGGGGAAGAGGACCGAAACGUGCCACUGAAAGACUCUACUGAGACAAAGGUCCAGGCGUCCCAAUUCUGAUAUUCCUUUCCCUCCGUUGAUCGAUCAUUAAUUCACUUCUUUAGGAAGGAGCUGAGUUUGUUUUCAAUAUUCCAACUGUUCGUUUGAUGCCUAAUGAAAUGAAAGUACUAAUAAUAACAUUUGUAAAGAUUACUUAAGUACUCUAAAAAUUUUCAAUUUAUUUUUCAAAUUAAUAUAGCACAUGAAACUUAUGAUAACAACACUUGAUAAAUAGGAAAAUCUAUUGUCAAUAAUUAUGAAGAUAGUUUAGUACUUCAAGAUUCAAAAUAUAGCACGUACUGAACUUAUGGAGAUAGUUGAUGAGUACUUGAAGAUAGUUGAAUGCUUAUGAAUGAAUGUAGUAGGGAUUAAAACAAGUUCAAAAAUAAUAACACCUUGGCACUUAUAAGGUUCCAAAAAUAUAGACAAAUUGAAACAUUCAGUUCAUUUAAUAAUAUUUUUUAAAAAAAAUUAUAUUCUUAUUUCAUUCAAACACGGAGUACAAAAGACAAAGCCUUUGUCAUCCUAAAUAAAAAGGCUUUGGCAUCUAUUCUACAUGGAUUGAAUGUGGCAACCAGUAACACAUCAAACUAAACAAUCAAACUGAUAAUAACCAAAAUAAAUAAUAAUCGAACUGAAUAAUUUUUUAAAAUUUUCAUCUCUACAAAUAUUCCAGCUAACAACACAAAUGAUAUAGCACUUGCUCCAAAAUCACUUUCAUCAACACAUGAACUUUAAGAUUGUUUUUCGCUGUAAAAAUCGUUUUUUUGGAAUUCAUUAAAUGAUGCUAAUGCGUCAUCAUAAGAUUUGUAAGACUUGAAGAUGGUUCCUUUGAAACCUACAACCAUAGGAGCACACUCACACCAAGAGUUGUAUAAUCCUGGCGUUUUACCACGAAAUAUUAAAUACACCUUUGAUGAAGAUAUGUUAUCUGCUUGAGAUCCAUUUCUAAACUCAUUAAAAUCUGCUAUGGCUUCAUCAUACGUUUUGAAGGCCUUGAAGAUGCUGCCCUUGACAUUAAUAACCAUAGGAGCACAGUGAUGCCAAGAGUUGUAUAAUCCAGGCGUCUUACCACGAAAUACUACAUAAACUUUCGAAGCAUUAUUCCCCUUCCCGUGGUCCAUUCCUUAAUCUAAUCCUAAGAAAGAUAAGAGAUGAAGAAGGAGAAAACAAAGAUAGAAAAAUGGGGGCUGGAAAAGCUUUUUUGGUUUAGCCAAAUAUAUUAAGUGUUUAGGAUUAGAAACUGACCACUUUAAUCAUAAAUAUCAGUAGUAUAAUUUUUAUACAUAUUUUCUCCAAUUUUUAAACGUAUUUUCUCUAAUAUAUUAUCUGUAUAUUUUAGUGUAUUUCGAUUAAUUGGUAUAGUAUAUGUAAAUUUUAGUGUAUUUCGUUUAAUUAGUAUAGUAUANNNNNNNNNNNNNNNNNNNNNNNNNNNNNNUUUAAACGUAUUUUCUCUAAUAUAUUAUCUGUAUAUUUUAGUGUAUUUCGAUUAAUUGGUAUAGUAUAUGUAAAUUUUAGUGUAUUUCGUUUAAUUAGUAGUAUACAUGUAUGUGCUUUGUGGAAAUUGAUAAAGCAUGCAUCUUUGAAAGUUAAGGCAAAUAAAUUAGUGAGACAGAAUUGUUGAAAAAAUGAGUUUAACACCAAAUAUCUAUCAAAGGGUAUAUAUGGAAAAUAAAAGUGCACAAAUAUCCAUUAUGCCCUCAAAAACCGUGUAAAGUUAUCAUUAUACCUCCAUUGGGGACAUUUGGUCCAUUCUUAAUGUGGCCAAAUAUAUUUUCGGUUACAUUAAAUAGGGAUAAGAAAAAACUGUAUUGAAAGUUGUGAUUUCAAUGUUAAAUUAUAAUUGCUGCCUGAUAUCUAGGAUUCCUUUUGGGAAAGGAAUCUUUUCCUCAUUUUCAUGAUUAGAAAAAAUUUUAUAUUAGCUUUGUAAUUCCUACGAUAAUUCGAGUCCUUGUUGGAUUCAUUGUCUCCGCCGUAGCCAGACGAAUCCCAUACGGAAAAGAAUAAUAGCAGUCGUCUCAAACAUUCGAUCCUAUAUCGGCGCUUAUUUUCAACUUUCGCCUUUUGACAUCUAUAAAUACAUUAUACUCUUUUAUUUAUUAGCAUCACUUUCAGCAUUUGCAAACAAUUUUCAGUCCGCUUUUGACGCCUUCGAAUCAUUAACACAAAAGUUAUUUCUUCUAUUUUCUUGUGCUUUUCUUCCUCUAAUUUUUUGUAGGUCAACAAGAAGGAUGUGUUUUUAUUUAAUGAGAUGAUCCAUGCAUGAUGAAUACAAUCAUAUGGUGUGGGGGAUGAGUACUCAUACUUCCCCAAAUAUCGGAGAAAUUACCCUCAAUGUGUCUUGAUUAUCAGAGAGAUUACUCUCAAUGCGGCCUGACUAUUUGAGAGAUUACUCUCAAUGUAUCUUGUCUAUCAGAGAUAUUACUCUCAAUGUGCCGUUCCUAUUAGAAAGAUUACUCUUAAUUUGGCCCUACUAUCGGAGAGUUUCUCUCAAUGUAUCACGACUAUCGGAGAGAUUACUGUCAAUGUGGCUCGACUAUCGGAGAGAUUACUCUCAAUAGACUUACAUGUCUACCUUAAGAUUGGAAAGUAUACUUUCCUUUAACGGAAAAACCCACGAAGAGGCCAACUUAAGUUACAAAGGGACUCAUAUGUCCACCUUAAGAUUGAAAAGUUAUAGUUUCCCUUUAAGGACAAACCCACGAAGAGGCCAACUUAAGGUGCAAAGGGGAUCAUAUGUCCACCUUAAGAUGUGAAAAUUAUAAAGUUCAACUCGAAAACUUCGUGGACUUGAAAAAGUCGACUUGAACACUUGAAAAAACUUUGAAGAUUUGACAGACUUUGCAUACUUCAACUUGAAGACAAACUAACUUGAAGAUUUGAUGGACUUAAAGAUUCAGCGGACUUUGAUGCUUCAACCUGAAGACUUUGAUGGCUCAAAUAGUUCAACCUAAAGACCGGAGAGUUUGAGGACCUCAACUUGAAGACCGGCGAGUUUGAGGACCUCAACUUGAAGACUUGGAGACUUAAAUAUUUCGACUUGAAGGCCGAAGAACUUAAAGACCGGCAGACUUAAAGAUUUGGCAAACGUAAAGACAUAGUGAACACACGGAUUUCUGCGCAAAUACUUGGUAGCCUCCAAAAAGACAAUAAUAGUACCAUUGAACACAUUGGUUUACCAUGGAGGCUUUCCCCCUUAAAUCAAAUGGGAUGCAAAAUUUAAUAGAAGAAUGGUAUCUUAGCUCGAUUUUCAAGUGCUGAUUAGAAGAAUUACAUUCCAUUGUACUUUAUUCGGACAACGAUUGGGGGAUAAUGUAUCUUUUGAACUUAUGAGACUACACUCAGAAUGAAACUCUAAGAUGCCUACGUACUUCGAUACAGAGGAUCAAGUCAUACCGUAGUUCAGAAUGAAUGGUUUUUUUAUUUAAUAUUUUAUAUCCUGACAUUUUCCUAGGCUGCCUCUUUCUAGAUUUUCAACCUAGCGGACUCUUUUUUUUUUCUUUUUGUAUGUCGUAUCCAGUUUACAAUCAUGCGGGGAAGGACUGUAGGGACAUGUAAUUUAGGUCGUGUGUCAAGGAGCGUUGCAACUUCAGGCUAAUACUUCUUUAAGAAUUUUCCAUUGAUAAGGCCGAUUCUCAUACCAUUUGCAUCAACUAGAUUGUAACCCCACUUGAGUAAGCUUCUUGUACGACAUAUAUCCCAUCCCAUUUUUAAGUGAACUUCCAUACAUGCUUAUGGGAAUUAAUAAUAGGUGUUCGUAUGGCAAGGACUUGAUCUCCCAUUUGAAAUCAUCUCGGGCGAACUCUUUUAUUGAAUGUGGGAGACAAUCGAGCUUGAUAACAUUCAAGACUCUAUUGAGCUUCCAACCUCUUUUCAUCAAGGGCCUCUAACUCUUCGAAUUGAAGUCGAGCAUUUUCUUCAUCAAUGAUCCCUUCUUGAAUAACUAAUCGAAAUGAAGGUAUUUGACGCUUGAGUGGAAAGACGGCUCCGACUCCAUAAACGAGUGAAUAAGGGGUCGCUUGUAUUGGCGUUCAUUGAGUUGUCCUAUAUGCACACAGAGCUUCUUCCAUAUGGUCAUGCAAUACAGUUUUUAUUUGGAGAAGAAUUUCUUCAGAAAAUUGCGUAGAGUAUUGGUAAAUGCCUCGGCUAGACCAUUGGCGGCAGCAUUGUACAUAGAAGAGUUACGUUGCUUGAAGCCAAAGAUAUCACACAUCUUGUUCAUAAACCUAUUGUCAAAUGGCUUGUAAUUAUCUGCUAUUAUGUAAUGAGGAACGCUAAAGCGAUAAAUAAUGUUUACUCAGAUUAAACAUGUAACAUUUUCCUUCUUUACUUCCUUAAGAGCAACAACUUCAACCCAUUUUGAAACGUAGUCAGUUGCAGCCAUGAUAUGUGGGUGCCCUGCAAAGGACUUUGGUAGUGGUCUAGUAAACUCCAAUCCUCAAACGUCAAAUAGCCAGGAUGCAAUAGUCGGGUGCAACACUUCAUGAGGUUGAUGAAUAAAAUUCGCAUGGAAUUGACAAGUUGUACAUUUUCGAGCGUAGUCCAAGCAUUCUUUUACCAUCGUUGGCCAAUAAUACCCCAUCCUUAUUUAUAUCAAAGUGGAGCUUUGGUCCUGACUGGUGUGAACCACCUACCCAGAAUGUUCUUCUUGCAAAGGUGGGAGUGCUUCAUCUUUCCCUAAGCAUCAGUACUCCCUUGAAUGACCUUCUGCAUAGAGUAUCUUUAUAAUAAAGGAAGUGAGGUGCACGACGACGGAUUGCAGUCCUUCUCUUCAGAUUUUCUUGAAGUAUCCCAUAACUUAAGUAGUCGAUAAUUGGUUGUUGCCAUUAUUUUAUUCUCAGUUUUCGAAACAAUGACAAGAUACUUGAAUUCAUUUUGUUCACCAUCAUUCCAAUUUAGCAGUGGUACUACCCAUUUUUGGCAGAUAGUAACUUGCGUUUGGUAAGGCAGGGUUAACGAUGACGCUAGGGCAGCUAAAUCAUCAACCUCCUUUUUUCUUUCCUUGGCGCAUGUUGAAUAGUCACGUCACCGACCCACUCCACUAAAUUUUUAGCAUAAUUAUGAUAUGGGCGCAGUUCAGGUUUCUUAACCUCCUAACUAUCUAAAAGCUAGUUGAUCACCAAAGAAAAGUUACCAAAGACUUGCAAUUGUAACCGCUUCAUUUCGAUAGCCAUUUCAAGCCUAUGUAUAAUUAAUUGAUACUCACCAACAUUGUUAGAGCAGAGUUGUGUCAACAUAAAUGAGUAGGGCAGUACUUCACCUUGAGUAGUGACGAGUACUACACCAGCACGAGCUCAUCCACGAUGUGCAUCACCAUCAAAGUACAUAUUCCAUGAAGGUUAAACUUCAAUGACCAUUGUGUCCUCCUCAAGUACUUCUUUAUUUAGCUACCAAUCAUCAUGUAUAGGGUGAUCUGCUAAGAAGUAUGCUAAUUCUUGCCCUUUUUAUAGCCUUUUGAGGGAUGUACAUAAUUUAAAAUGGUUGAAACUGGAGGUACCAUCUAGCUAGUCGAUCACUAAGGACAUGUUUUGAUGGGAUUUGCUGAAGAUACAAGGCUAACAACAUGAGCUUGAAAGUAGUUCUUCAAUUUUUGAAUUGAGAAGACUAGAGACAAGCAUAAAUUUUCGAUUGGCGAAUAGAUUAGCUCGCUUAGUGUCAUCAUCCUACUUAGGUAGUAAAGAGAGUUUUUUCCCCUCACCAUUUUUGGCCAAUAGUACUUCAAUAGACCUUUCUUGUGCCGAAAUAUAUAGUAUUAAUGACUUUCUAGGUAUGGCGGCUACCAAAACUGGAGACUUCAUCAAGUAAGUUUUAAUACUUUCAAAGGCAUUGCUACAAGCUUGGUCCCACUUUAAAGGAAUCCAUUCUUUAUGCGGCGACUGAAUGGUUGGCACCUCCCAGCUAGGUUUGCGAUGAAUCUUUUAAGUUAUGCUAGCUUUCUUUAUAGACAUAUCAAUUCAUAAAUAUCUCGAGGCUCAGUAAUAUUCAAAAUGGCAUCCACUUUGGCUUGAUCAAUUCCGAUCCCUCAAUGUCGGACAACGAAGCCACGGUGUUUUCUAGGAAUAACUCCAAAGGAACAUUUCAAUGGAUUAGUCCUAAGUUGGUACAUCUGGAGAAACAAAAAUACCAUUCUAAAGUUUUUCAAGUGGUUGUUUUUCUCUUUUUAUUUUACCACCAAGUCGUCAACAUAGCAUUCGACAUUCUUGUAGAUAAGAUUAUCAAAAUAUUUCAGCAUAGCCCUUUGAUAAGUAGCACUAGCGCUCAUCAAGCCAAAAGGCAUUACCUUGUAUCAAUAAAUACCUUCGGGGGUACGAAAUGUAGUAAGCUCUUUAUUUUGUUGGCGCCGUGAGAAUUUUGUAUAGCCCGAUGAACCAUCCAUAAAUUACAUUGCCUCGUACCCAGUAGUGGCAUCAAUUAUCAGAUCCGAAAUAGGAAGAGGGAAUUCAUCUUUCGUACAUGCAUCAGUGAGAUCCCUAAAGUCAACACACUUGAGUCUGGCCAUUUUCUUUGUUAUAGGGACGAUUCAUGAAACCCAUGUUGGGUAUUUAACUUAACGAAUAAAUCCAGCUUCGAUGAGUUUGUUAACAUUGGUUUUAAUCAAGGGAACCAAGUACGGCGUAAAGAGCCUUUGAGCAUGUUUAACAGGGCGAGCACCAUUCUUGACUGCAUGGUGAUGGACUGCUACUUUCGGGUCCAAGCAAAAACAUCCAUGAACUCCUUGAGUAGCUCAAUACAAGUGCUAUCUUUAUCAACUUAUAGUAAAGAACUUAGGUAGGUGGGUCUUGGUUCUUUAUUGGUGCCAAGGUUGACUUCUUUUAAGGCAUCAAGUGUUGUCUUCACCACUUUUUCAAGUACAUAUGGAGCAUAUUUUACAUCUUUAUCAUCUUGAGGGUCCCCAGCGUUGAAGGAUAUGUAAUAAAACGGUGAAGCAUCCUCCAAUUUCUCAACAUCCUCUAUUAGAGACGAGACAUCAUUCUUGCCUAGUACUAUAACAUGAUACAAUGAACACACACUUUAUUCAUCUUCAUCAUGUUUCUUAGUGUAGACCAUAGUAUGUGGCUUUAACUUCAGUACUUAUUUACAUGAAACAACAAGUUUUUUUGUCGCCUCAUUCUGGAAGGAACCAAACUUUGGAAAUCCUUACAGAUUUUCUGGAUUAUGGGUGAAACAGGCGCUCUUAUGCUUCGAUAAUUUCUCUGCAAGUUGUUCCCCUUCUUUAAUGGACCCAACCUCUCAAAUACGGAGCCCCCACAGUUAGUUUAACAAGUCGAUCAAAUAUUGAAGGUCUGUUAGAACCGACCGAUUCAUCUUCUAUAGUGAUAUAUUGCUACUCACCCUUCUUAUUGUGAUAUCACUUGUGAUGGUUGCUUGUAUCCUAAAAUUUAUCAUGGUUGUGUUAUUGGAGCUUCCGAUAUAAGCUUCCCUAACUAUGACAGCUCAUUAGGAUUGUAUCUAGCUUUUGCAAAUAGAAUGUAAACGUUAAGAUCAAAACCUUCAUAUGUUCACUUUAUAGGGAUUGCCACAUUCUGCAAAUGAUUGUGGGCCUCAAUUCAUUUUACAAGAAGAUUUAACUCCUUAUCAUGUUAGUUUCGAGAUUAGAUGAUUCACCUUCAUCUUUUUUCCUUUUAGGGACAUAUUGGACCGCAUGAGUUGCUUUCUUUCCAUAAGAUGCAAUAUCCCUUCUACAAGAUUUAUUUAAGUUAGGUUGUAGCUACUCAGUAACAGCUUUGGCUUUACCAGCAGUCAUCUCAGCUCUUUUAGUUGUGGGCUCGUGAUUUUUUUUUCAUAACAUCAACAACUUUUAGCUCCUUCACUAUGAAUUUCUUUAAGUAGAACUUUGCAUUGACGAAGUGCGACUCAACCUCGGUGAAUGGCUCAUCAUCAACAACUAUUUUACUCUUGACUUCAUCCUCGUAGUAUUUCAAACAUUGAUGGUAGGUAUAUGGAACCACUUUAUUCUUAUGUAUCCAAGGCCUUCCAAGAAAGACGUUGUAUGAAGGCAUUGCAUCGAUUACAUAUAUCCAUGCACUUAAUUGCAUAUAUUUAAUGCUGAUUCCCAACCCGAUCGCACAUAUGGAUCUUUGUACCCCUUGAUUGAAUCCUUGGAUCAUUACAUGAAUUUAUGAGAAUUCAUUCCUUGGAAUAUAAAGUUCUUUCACAGUAAGAAUUGGCAAGAUUAUCAUAGAGGAUCCUCCAAUAACUAAAAUUUGAUUUACCCUUUCAUUAUGCAUAUGGACAACGUAUAAUGGACGGUUAUGAUGUGUCUCACCUAAUAGAAGAUCGUCAUUUGCGAAUGUAAAUUUUUCCUCGUACACGUUAACAUCUUGAGGAAUAGAUUCGAUGAGAAUUUUAGAAGAUGUUGCCAACGGUAGGUCAUCACUCUUUUUUCCUUUAUCAGCAUUUCUACAAGAGGCCCCAAUACCAUCACGGGAAAUCUUCAUGUGAAACCAACAUGGCAAGAAAUCAUUCAAAGUCACUAAAUCUUGUGACUUUUGAGGGUGGUGCUCCUCCACUUUUGCUUUCUUCAAACGCAUAACUGGAUUCUUUUUCAUUGUUCUUUUUCCCAUCAUUUUCAUUGUUUUUCGUUAUAUGAAUUCUUUUUGUGGGAUCCUUUUAUGGCGCCUACGAUGAGUCACCAACAUCCAACCUUCAUUAUCAUCGGUUGAUCGACUUCAACUCUGUUAUUCUCCAAUAAUUCUUCAUUUUUACUUUCUUUCAAACCAUAUAAUUCAUCUGGACUGAAUGAGCCAAAGGUGAUAGAGACUUGGUUUGCGCUUGCUUUUUCAUCAAGCACGAUUUUCUUUUCACGAGCCAAGUCCAUAACUCUGUCCUUGAAGACAAAGAACUUCUCUAUAGGAUGACUCAAGAGUCAAUGGUAUUUACUGUAAUUUUGAUUAUUCGUUUUACUAGCUUCCUUUCGCUACUUCAUAUCUAGGAGCUCAAGUAUAUUUAACUUGAUGAGUUAUUAAUAAAAUGGCUAGCAUAUCAGAAUCCAGAAAUGGAUACUCUUUCUCUUGCAUUUCUUUUAGAGUCAACUUUGCACUUGGCUUAUAUUGAAAAUAAGUGGAUUUCAUACAAUGUUUAUUGCUCGCCUUCGCCAUGAACUUCACAUGUGAUGUGUUGACUUUCAUGUCUUCUUUACUUUAAGACUAGGGUAUGAACUUGCCCUACGUCUUGAAUUCUUUCUUGUCAUGGGAAGCCUUUCAUUUCCAUUCGAGGCCAUGCUCAAUUCCAUGCCAUGGGCAUGAGUUGCUACUUUUUCAAAUGUGCUAGGCCAUAUACCUUUUAAAAUGUAGCCCAAUCCCCAAUGCAUGCCUUGGAUGCACAUAUCUAUGCCAGAAACUUCUAUCAAUACAUUUGAGGCUUACAUUCCUCGAAUAAUGGAUAAAGUCGAUAAUUGGUUCACCAUUAUAUUGACUAUUGUGAGUUCCACCUUGCUCACAAUGCACCUUAUGCUAUUAAAGAGAUUGAGGAACACUUCGCUAGUUGAUCCCAGCUGUUAAUAGAUCUCGCCUCGAGGUCUGUAUACCAAUCAAAAGAAUUUCUUUUUAGCGAGCAAACAAACUUCUUGACUAGGUAUUCUCCAUAAGUCCUAGAGUUGUUGCAUGUCUCCACAAAGUGCGCCACAUGUUGCGUUGGAUUGCCUUUACCAUCAAACUAUUGACAUUUUGGAGGUUGAUAGCCAACAAACAUCUUUAAAAUAUCGAUCCUUGCAGUGUAAGACUUUUUGUAUGUAAGGGAGGACUUGAAAGCAACUACACACUUAUUAUUUAUAGAUCCUUCAAUGAACUCCUUCAAUUGAUCGAUGGGGAUCGUCCCAUCAGAUGAAACAGGGAUAGCCUUAGCGGAUGUUACUCGUCUUGGGGGAGAAUCAAUCUCUAGAACUUCUGGGAUCUUAACAGGUGCAUGAGUGGAUUCUUCUUCCGUUAAGAUUCCUACCCUAUCUAUUAGCUUGUCGAUUAUAGAAUCUUGAUUUUGCAAUUAUUUAUUCAAGCUAACAAUUGCUUCCGUCAAGUUUGCCAGCUACUCAUCCACAUAUGAGGUGUUUGUCACUAUGACUUGCAUGAUUGUCGUGGACAAUGGAGAGUAGCAUCGAUUUUCACACAGAUUGAUCCUCGAUUUCCUUAAGUGAUAUAAGUGGGGAGGAUCCAUCACUUGAAGAAUCAUGAUAUUCCUUCACAGUAGAGUACUUGGAUCCGGAGAAGUCAAGUAUAGCAAGAUUUUUAUUGAUCUUUUCAGCAACAUCCCUUCCUCCUCUGGGUGUAUUUGUAGAAGAUUUUACUAGUUUUGAGAAUGAAGAUCCAAAACCAAGAGUUGAAUUGGAUGACACUUGGGGUGCAUGUUGUCCUAUCAAGCUUGCUGUUCUCCUCGUAACUGGUCCAAAGCUUCCAAAGGUAACAUCAACUAUGUUUUAAACAUCAGCAUAGAACCUGGAAUUAGCACCCUUGGUGGAAGUUGAACUGUCGUUCAUAUUCUUUUAAGCCAGUUUAAUGUUCUUGACAUUUUGUGAUUGAAAAGUUGAUAUGAGAUGUAAACUUGCGUCGACAAAAUAAAAUCAAGACUGAAAAAUAUUUCAUACAAUCAUUAUGAUUACUCUUACUCUUUUUCUCAACAGUAAAUAAAUUUAAGGGCAUUUGAGCUUGAACUUGAAUCAAUUUUUUUUUGCUACGAAAGAUGAAACUAAAUUUAACUUGCACAGAAUUUGAUUUGAACUUGUACUCUUUGAACCUUGAUUUGUUCUUAGUUCUUGAUCAUGGACUUCAUUUCUUGAAUUUGAACUUGAUUACUUGAAACUUGUAGAGGAAUUUAUAGUGUUUGAUCCACGAGCUUUUUCUUUAUUCUAGUUAUAACUCCUGGUGUCUUUUCUGGGUUAUGAAGACUCCUAUUUACAGUUGUAAGAGGGAAGAGUUAUUACCAUAACAAACUCUUUCCGACCAAUCAAAUCGAAGUAUGAUAAGGCCGCGUUUGAUUGGAUAGAACAUAUCACUUGCACACGUGGUGCGGUUUCAAUGCCUUUUCAACGUGACUUGGAAUGCCUUCUCGUUUUGAAAUGUAGCAUAAUCUUAUUGGAUCUUCCGUUUUUCUUAGCAUGCCACGUCAUUUGAUGUGUGGUACCAAUUUGGGCCUCUAGGAAGAUGAUGUCUUCAACCUAAUGAAGUGGGCUCAUCAUAUGUAGCACAAUUAAAUGGGUUUGCCCAAUUAUGUUAGACUUAUAAAAUUAAUUCAAUUUUAUUAGCUCAUAAUAUUUAUUUGAACAAGUAUAUUUAAAAUAUAGUCCAAAGUAUUUAUUGAAUUUAAAUUCAAUAAAUUUUGCAUGCCUUCUCGGUUAUUUACUUAAUUAUUUUAAAGGAUGAUCCAUGAUUUGAAGAUUUAGGAUUCACAAUUAAAUAUUAUAGAUAUUCAUUAAAUGUUUUAAUAUAUAUACAAAGAUUGAGCACAUCUACUGGAUUCCCAGGAACCCACAUAUUAGCCUCUGGAUCUUCCAGUGAUUCAGAGGAGCAACAAAACUAAUAAAUACAUAUCAGUCUCAAGCUUUUUGGGGUAGGUUGUAUAAAUCAUUAAAUUCUUUGUGCGUCCAAUCUUUGAAAAUGAUCAAUUAUUAUAGACCAGAGGGAGUAACAAACUUCAAAAAGUCUCCAGUCUUUGAAUAACCAAACGUGGGGAAUCCUGCAAAUUAAAUAAAUAAAUGUUGAAGUUAAAGUGGAACCAUGUAUGAUUUCGUCAGAGCAGUGAAUUGGGAGUAUUUAGUUCUGUAACCUUAUGCAAAUAAAAUUUGAGUAUUGAGAAGAAGAAGAUAUAUCAUGCAAAUACAAAUCCAAAUAAACUAAAAAUCUAUUUAUGUAAUGUCACAACUUUAUACAUUGUCUUUGAUCUUAAUUAGGCAUAUCUUGACAACGCAUGCUAACAACUUAACAUAUCUAAUAGAUUAUCAACAAGUGUUGAACCAAUUUAUGAGUUUCGUGAUACCAUUUACCAUAUAAUUCAAAAAUAAGACAUGAUGUUACCAUCGAGGUAUGAAUUGGUGUGGACAUGGUAAUAGAUGAAAUUAUAAUCGUCAUCAUGGUGAUAAUGAUAAAAAAUGAUUCUCAAAAUAAUCCUUCACUUUGUGAAAGUAAUGUUUGUUACUGAUUUUGUUGACCUAAGCGGUUUUGGUUUUGAUGAUUGAUAAAGCAAAACAAACAUGAACCAGGUCCAUGGACAAUGUACAUAGGUCACAGUUCGAUUUAAGCAAAAGACAUGCAUGUGCAAGGGAUAAGUAUAAUUGGUUAUUUGUGAUAUUCAUUGAAUGAAGAUGAUGCAUAAUUGAUAAGGAGCGGGAUUCCCUACUUGAAGAGAACUCUAUCCAAGAUAAAGAAAGACUUAGAAGAUGAAGAUAUCUAAAACUCUUCCUCCAAGGAAGAGUAAAUCAUUAGACUUCUAGUUACACUUUAUUUACUUACUCUAUAUAUAUCAGUUAUGUUCUCUUUUACAAGAGACACACAUAUACUGAAGAUCAGUAGAAUUGAGAGCAAAAUAGUAAGGUAUUUUGCGAGCAAUUCCUGUGAGAUUCAAGAGUGUCGUCCUAAAGCUACACGAACCCGAUUGAAGAACUAGUUCCAUAAAGAGUUGUAUGUGUCAUUCUUUAUUUCUAGUUCAAAGAGUAGUAGACAUUUUGAUUUAUAUGUUUCAUCUUUCUUAGAAGCAAAUUGUACUAGGUACAUGAGUUGUAUCAUUCAAGUUAGAGUUAACUUGAAGUAGUCGCAACAGCUUGUGGAGCAUUGUUACAGGGGGUUAUAGUUAAUCAUUUGGUUUUGCAAGAUGUUGUAAAAUCGAGUUGCCUCUUUCAAAUUAUAUUUAACUAGAAGUAAUUGCAAUAGCAUGUGGUGUGUUGCUAGAAGGGUUAGGGUUAAUACUUAGGUUUGCAAGAGUGGUAAGCUUUAUUGUUGGCUUAGAGUUGUAGUGAAAUAUUUAGAGAAAAUCAUAUGGGGCAGUAGGUCAUAAUUUUUUCACCUUUUGAGGCGGGUGAUAUUCAAGUAAUAAUUCUUGUAUUCUUUAAUUUGUGCAUUAUUUAUUAUUCAAUUGUAUUAUAAGGAAUGCAUAUAAGAAGCGGGUCCUUAAUUAAUUCAAUGCAGUUGAAAUUGGGCAACAUAAAAGUUACUCCCCUUCCGUUAGGCAUUAAAGUGUCAAAUAUCAUAUUCAACUUGAGAUUUUAUAAAGCACAUAUAUAUUAUUAUGUUACAUGACCAUUCCUUAAUUGAAUGUGGAAAUAAUAUGAUAAUCAUUCCGAAGACAUAUGCAUUCUUGGAAGAGUAUGAAAGUGUUAGUGAUAAUGAAUGUAGCACACUCACCUCUAGAAGAAGUUUGAGAUUAUGACGACCCAACUAGUUGUUUUGAGCAUUUUCACUUCGCUCGGACGUCAUUUGACAUGUUUCGGGCUUAAAUCUCAAGAAUUAAAAGUUCAUAAAUUUGGUAGAAAAUAAUGGAUUUUAAGGUUUAAUUCAAUAUUUUGAUAUUAUUUUGGCGAUUAGAUCGCACAGUUAAGUUCGUGGCCUGUGGUUGAGUUAGUGUGUGUGAUUAGUUUGGAAUACCGAGGGCUUGAGAAUGUUUCGGAGUGGUUGGAGACAUAGGAAUAUAGCAGAUUUUCUACAACUGUUGAAGCCCUCAAUUGUCUCCGCGUUCGCGUUCUGCCUUACGCGUUCGCAAUCCCUUUCGUGAUCCUUUCUUCAUGUUUGCAAUCCGCUUCUCACGUUCACAUAGUUCUAUCCUUCCUUCAAGCGUUCAUGUAUUCACUCACGUGUUCGUAUAGGCCAAAAUGUGGGACCCUAGUAUUUUUAUUCUUCGCGUUCGCAGCCUUCUCUCGCUAACGCAAUGCUUGUCCGCCCCUUCUCAUCGCGAAUGUGACCCCAUGUCGCAAACGCGUAGAGUGUUUUUCACCCAGCGAUUUUAAUUUUUAAAAAUAGAAUAGUGACAUGAUUUUCACAAUCUCUGAGAUACAUGGCAUUAGCAUGCAUAUAUGACAUAUAUGCACAUAGACGCAUUUCCUCAUUUUGUGCGGUAUCACGAUAUUCAUGAUUUCUUUCACACUCUUUGAUAUGUGGGCAUAGAGAAAUAUUUUACACUUGCUAUUUUGAUAGAAAAUGAAACAUAUUAUUUAUUUUGGAAAGGACUUUUGAGAAAAAAUUCGGUUUUCUAUCUCGUAUUUUUUAAAGAUUUUGGUAAAUUAACUAUUUUUUUUUAAGAUUGUGAAAACCUGAGCAUUUUAUGUCAGAGUUGCUUCCUUAUAUAUAUUCUCUCUAUGGUCAUGAAUUCUUGUUGUUUUCUGGUGUUGGAUCCGCCAGUUCCAGCUCAUCACUACCCUCAACCGAAGUAUAAUUUUGUUACAUAUUGAGUACAUUGGUUCAGUUGUACUUUUACUAUACUUCUUGCACAUUGCAUGCAGAUUUCGGAUGUCGAUGUUGCUUUGUUCGAUGAGAGAUGAACUGGAAGAUGUACCUCCAUUCCGGUUGUGGCUGCCUCUUGUUCAUGGUAGCCGUAGAUUUAUGAAAAAAAAUUUAUGUACUUUUCAAACACAAGAUGUAUUUUCUUCAUAUAAGCUUUGUGAACUUUAUUCUUAGAAGAUUAUUAUUUGUAUUACCAGUCCUUGGGAAAUGUAAAAAAUUAUGAAAAUUCUUUUGUUUAAUUGUUGAAUUAAUAUUAUUGAAAGUGAUUAUUGUUAGUUUGCUUACCUAGCGGGUUAGGUUAGUACCAUCACGACUAAUGGAUUUUGGGUCGUGAUAGAUUGGUAUCAGACCUCUAGGUUCAUAGGUUCUACAAGUCAUGAGCAAGUAUCUAGUAGAGUCUUGCGGAUCUAUAUGAUGAUGUACAUACCUAUCUUCAAGAGGCUACAAGGAAUUUAGGAUAUACUUCACUUCUUUCAUAUCAUGCGGCAUUGAUUCUGCUCGAAGCGUAAUCCUUUAAAUUCCUUCCAUGCAUUCGUAUGCACAUAUGAACGCUCAGUAUCAGCUGCUAAUCGAUGGCAUUUGAUUCCCUGAAGGAGGUGCGAGAUGUGAUUUCUCUGUGUUGAUGAUUGGCUUGUCUGGAGGACUUGAGGCUGCGUUUUGACUGUUUCUUGAGCAUAAAGGCAUUUAUUGUGUGAUCAUGUGCUUUUGGAUUUAUAGGUCGAGUAGUGUCCUUAUUAGAAGAAUUUGUGGGUUGAUGGCUACGUAAUGAGUAUGAUGUAAUUGCGAGAUGUGUUCAUAUGGUUUGAAUGCGACGAGAAGGGUUUUCUUGACGUGUAGAAUGAACUACUGGGUGCUUGAUUUCCAUAUUAAUGUUAUGUAUAGUCUCGAGUUAUGGGUGAGUUGAAGCAUCUUUUGAUGUUGUUUAGUUGAGGAAUGAAGUAGAUUUUCAUGAUGUUGUUGAUACCCAAUUUUUUCCUUCAUAUUUUAUAAGUGCAUAUAUAUACUUUCAAAAUGAUACAUAUGCAUCAUCAUUUAGCAUAUAAGCCUAUGUAAGCAUUUUUCAUAAUUUUCCAUAAUUUUAAAAGGCUUUAAAUUGAUUUAUUUCAGUAUUUUAUUAUAUAGAUAUUACGCAAUUAUCCUUAAAAUUAUUUUAUGAUGAGUUUAACAUCUAAACUUAUUAUUUACACCUAUAUCAAUGUCUUAAAAUAGUUUAAAAUAUUUUUAUAAUUACAUUUGCAUUUUAGGGCUAAUUGUACACCAUUGCAAUAGUAGCCCAUAAUAAUGUAUUAUUACAUUAUUUAUGCAGAAAAUAAUUUUUUAUAUUUUGUAAUGCUAAGUAAUUACUAUUAAUUAUUUUUGGUGCAAAAAUAGUAUUUUUUCUAUUUAUUAACUAUUUUUAUAAACUAUGUUUUCUAAAUAUUGGGUAUUUAAAUAAUAACCUAGUUCUAAACCUAAUUUCGGACCAAAAAUUACCCAAACCUCAGCUCAAUUAGCCCAUGCGCUGGCCCAAUAACCCUUAUCCUAAACCAUACUUAACCCGGUCAGUAUCCUUUUCAUUUUAACUCAUCUCGUUCGUUUAUUAAUCCCAUCUGUUGAUCUUUUGAGAUCAACAACCCACAUCCUUCCCCCCAUUUUUAAUUGACGAAACCCCCCAAACCCUAGCCAUUUCUUCCAACUCGUCGCCUGCAUAUGCUCUCGUCUCUCUUUAUCUUUGUCAAACCCUAGCUAUCUCACCCCCAAAUCCACUCUCCUAAUCUCGUUAAUAAUGAUAUUUUACCAUUAUUUGGUUACCUAAUUUGGUUUCCUUUCCUACUGGUUACUCGAUUUUUGUAUUACUUAUGUAUUUGCCUAAUUUUGGCUAAUACCACCUCUAUAUCGGACGAGAAUCGACUCAAUAUUUAACAUUUGUGUGAUAUUCCGUCCAUAUAUGCGAGAUGAACUUGAUCUUGCAUACCAGGUGUUCGAUUCUGAGCCUAAAGCCCUAACUAGGGUUUGGAGUUUGAUACUUGUUCCAUUUCUAUUGUUUUACUUACUUGAAUGCGAGAUUUAUCCCUUUUCUUUUUCUGUAUUUACUCGAUUUCUUUCCUUACCUAUGUUAAUCAAUCAUUUUUCUUAUUUCUGUAUCCAAUUUUACUGCUAUUUAAACCCGUACCCCAUCCCUUUUGGAUAGGACUUGAUUCAAUAUAAUCUUACUAAAAACUUGAGGCUUUACUCUGUGAAUUCAUUAUUAUCUCUAUCUUUACUUUUUGGUGGCCUGCUAAAUUCCAUGGCCAUAGAGAAUCUACUGUCCGAACUCUUGUGGAUCUUUUCUUUUAUUUGUUGUUCAUUUAACUGACAAGGGACUUGACUCUUGAAGUUUCAUCCCUAUGUGCUCAUGAUUUGUCCAUGUUCUCAACUCUGAAAUUUCUUUCUUAAUAUGUUUUCUGGAUUACUUUUGUGCACAAGUUAUUUAAGUAUACUUUGUUCUAAGUCUAUUAGCAUCUGACUCUCCUCCUAAUGCUACUAAUUUUGUGUUUGUCUAAGCCUAACAUAGGUAAUUUGAGUGCAGGGGUCUAGACGUUUCCCUAAUUCAUGCUUAUUUGUUUUGUCAUUAAUCUCUAUAGUGAAUACUAGAAUGUCUGUAUGACAUGUUCACUUAUUAUUUUGUCACUCAGCAUGCUCACUUGAUCCCCAUACCCAAUAAGUGCCUGAUAGAGAUCUUAACAUUUAGCUCAACCUGUUUUUCCAUGCCUUGCUUUGUGACAUGAUAUAUAUCUUUAGUCUAUUAUGACAAAUCCAAUAUAUCCAUAUGUGAUAUUUGGUAUGAGUUUUCUAUCUUAAAUUGUUCUAAGUCCUUGCACUGUUUGUUUUGCAUAUACAGUGUGUUGUAAUUUGUAUUAAAACAAUUUUCUAUCAACUAUGAUCUUGCUUCUAUGAUAAUAUGUUUUCCAGUCUGUCCCUUAUUAAUUUGAUACCCUGUUUCUUGCAGUGAUUAUCAUAAAAUGUGCUCCCCAUCAUGUCUAAAUAUUGAUUGGCAUAACCUUAGGAUGCAUGUUUAGCUUAAUUUGAACCUUCUAAGCCUUAAUUGGUUUAAUGCCAUGAUUGAAAACCUAUGCAAACUUGUUUCUUUCUCAACUUCUUCCAAUAUAUGGAUGUCUAUGUGGUACUCUGCUAUAUGUUUCUACACAUGCAGGGUUUUUUGAUUAGUUUCUCUCUAUGGCUAUGUCUACUUUAGGUUAUAAGUGUGUCCUCCCCACUUCUGUCCCUCAGCUAUUGUCCAUUCUCCCUCAUUACUUAUGCUAUUCUAAAUUUUUCAUUCUUAGCCGGCGAAAAGCCAAGGCUAUCAAGGCUCUUGCCACUGACCUCCCUAGUGUGACCACUGCUUGGGUUUCAUUUGAGGAACAAUCUAGGAUUUGGGUCUUUGAUCAUUUCGCCUAAUACUGAAACUUGCGCUAUCCCUGUCACUCUAUUCUUUUUGCCUAUGGUAUACUGAAUAUGUAAAUUGGUUUGUCAAUUCAUAGUUGUGUUAUCUAGCCUAAGUUCUUCUUUGGAUUUUAGGUUGUGUUGAUUCCUAGGUAUGCUGCAUGAGAGUUGCUGAAGGCCCAGGCAAUGUUGAAUAUUUAUGAUCCUACUGCCAUUAUUCGUGCAAUACUUGUAAUUACAUUACUAUUAGGCAUGUAAUAUCUUUGUAAUGAACAACUGGUAUUAGUAAAAAUUGGGAAUGGGUAGAUUCUUAAUGUUUACAUGAAAAGGGGUAGAUAAUGCCUAUAUGACUUAUUGAUUCCCUUAAUCUACGUGGCCCUCGAUCUAUAUAAAUCAUAUCAUUUGGAUAAGCAUAUACAUAUACACCGCCUAUACGCAAAUGUGAAUGCCACAAUUGUUUCAACUAUUAUGCAUUAUUGGAAAAUCUACCUAUAGGAACAAAGUUUCAAUGAACUAAUUUUCAAUUCGCCUUAGCAUUACCACACGAAAACAUGCCUAUAGGGUUAAUCACUUAAUUUUCUAUUGUCCAAUACUGUAAGAUAUAUAUCAUGCCAAUUGAAUUUUAACUUUUUAAAUUUGGUAUUUCCUUAUUCUGCCUGCCUAGAAAGCAUGCCUAUAGGGAUAAAGCGUAUAAAAUAAUGCCCGGUUGUCAAUCAUUAGAAAGAGUUCUCAGAGGAUGUUUGUUGACGACUUUAAUGCCCAUUUACAUAAACGCAUAGAUAUCAUGUUUAUAGGACCUACAAAAUACUAAUACAUCAUAAAUUAUAGUAUUAAAUUUAGAAUACUAUAAUUUAGAAUCACAAGCAAUCAUGUCUAUAUGUUUAAUAACUUAUAAUCUGCAAUAAUCAACAUGUAAUACCAAAUACGCCCCCUAAAAAUAAUAAUUGUCUAUAAGUGUGAAAUGGCACAUUUCAUCUGGAACUGCCCGUACUUUGGUUCAAAGUCAUCUAAAAAUCAUGUCUAUAGGUUUAAGGUUUUGAAUUCUAAAAGCUCCUAAUUUGCAUAUGUGUUUGCAUGCAUUUGCUGUCAAAGUGCGGGGUUCAAUCUGAACCUUUAUUUGGUUUUAUGUGAAGUCUUUAUAUAUUUUGCUUGUCGCCUAGAUUUUCGCAAUUUUGAGAAUCCCAGUUAAGGUCUAGAACCAUCCAAAUAGAGGUCAAAACCCCCUGGACCAUAAGCAUGGUCGGAUAGUGAACGUAUAACGCUAGGUUUUAGAAUCAACUAGUGCACUUUAGGUAACAAUUUGGUGAUAGUAAUCGGCUAGUAGUAGAUGAUAGUUUUUACCCGUUGAAUAAUACGAAUAACACCCCAUCUUGAGGGAGUUACGAAGAAUUAUUUAUAUCGCACGUGGUGAUCCUUUAGGCUAAAAUAUUUUGGAGCCCCCUCNNNNNNNNNNNNNNNNNNNNNNNNNNNNNNNNNNNNNNNNNNNNNNNNNNNNNNNNNNNNNNNNNNNNNNNNNNNNNNNNNNNNNNNNNNNNNNNNNNNNNNNNNNNNNNNNNNNNNNNNNNNNNNNNNNNNNNNNNNNNNNNNNNNNNNNNNNNNNNNNCCCCAUCUUAUCUUUAAAUCCAUCAUUUGUGUGUAAUAAUGAACCUCCCAAACUUGUUGUUUUGUUUUCUGCAAAAUUCAUAUUAUUUGAGAUCGGCCGGGAUCUAUAGUUGUGGACCUCAAUGAGUGCCUAACACCUUCUCUUCGAGGUAUUUUCGAGCCCUUACCUGAUCUUUGACGAGGCAAACUGGUUAAAACUACGUUAUUUGCAAAUAGGUGCCUUAUUUUGAAACCUUAUUUUGCGAGAAAAAGGGGCGCGAUAGCAUAACGACUCUGCUAGGGAUAUUUUUAGGCUCUUACCAUAAGAAAACUUUGUCUCUAUGAAUAAGUCUUCUCUGAAGGAACUGAAGAAGCAAUUAAAAGGCCUUAAUGCCUAUGUAACAAGUUACAAACAGAAAAUUGUGCAGGCAAGGGAAGCUUUAGAUAUUAUUCAAUGUCAGAUGCAGAAUCAUCCAUUCAGUCAGGAAUUNNNNNNNNNNNNNNNNNNNNNNNNNNNNNNNNNNNNNNNNNNNNNNNNNNNNNNNNNNNNNNNNNNNNNNNNNNNNNNNNNNNNNNNNNNNNNNNNNNNNNNNNNNNNNNNNNNNNNNNNNNNNNNNNNNNNNNNNNNNNNNNNNNNNNNNNNNNNNNNNNNNNNNNNNNNNNNNNNNNNNNNNNNNNNNNNNNNNNNNNNNNNNNNNNNNNNNNNNNNNNNNNNNNNNNNNNNNNNNNNNNNNNNNNNNNNNNNNNNNNNNNNNNNNNNNNNNNNNNNNNNNNNNNNNNNNNNNNNNNNNNNNNNNNNNNNNNNNNNNNNNNNNNNNNNNNNNNNNNNNNNNNNNNNNNNNNNNNNNNNNNNNNNNNNNNNNNNNNNNNNNNNNNNNNNNNNNNNNNNNNNNNNNNNNNNNNNNNNNNNNNNNNNNNNNNNNNNNNNNNNNNNNNNNNNNNNNNNNNNNNNNNNNNNNNNNNNNNNNNNNNNNNNNNNNNNNNNNNNNNNNNNNNNNNNNNNNNNNNNNNNNNNNNNNNNNNNNNNNNNNNNNNNNNNNNNNNNNNNNNNNNNNNNNNNNNNNNNNNNNNNNNNNNNNNNNNNNNNNNNNNNNNNNNNNNNNNNNNNNNNNNNNNNNNNNNNNNNNNNNNNNNNNNNNNNNNNNNNNNNNNNNNNNNNNNNNNNNNNNNNNNNNNNNNNNNNNNNNNNNNNNNNNNNNNNNNNNNNNNNNNNNNNNNNNNNNNNNNNNNNNNNNNNNNNNNNNNNNNNNNNNNNNNNNNNNNNNNNNNNNNNNNNNNNNNNNNNNNNNNNNNNNNNNNNNNNNNNNNNNNNNNNNNNNNNNNNNNNNNNNNNNNNNNNNNNNNNNNNNNNNNNNNNNNNNNNNNNNNNNNNNNNNNNNNNNNNNNNNNNNNNNNNNNNNNNNNNNNNNNNNNNNNNNNNNNNNNNNNNNNNNNNNNNNNNNNNNNNNNNNNNNNNNNNNNNNNNNNNNNNNNNNNNNNNNNNNNNNNNNNNNNNNNNNNNNNNNNNNNNNNNNNNNNNNNNNNNNNNNNNNNNNNNNNNNNNNNNNNNNNNNNNNNNNNNNNNNNNNNNNNNNNNNNNNNNNNNNNNNNNNNNNNNNNNNNNNNNNNNNNNNNNNNNNNNNNNNNNNNNNNNNNNNNNNNNNNNNNNNNNNNNNNNNNNNNNNNNNNNNNNNNNNNNNNNNNNNNNNNNNNNNNNNNNNNNNNNNNNNGAGAGGCAUAAGACAAGGAGAUCCCAUGUCUCCCUACCUAUUUGUUUUGGCUAUGGAAUAUCUAAACAGAAUUCUACAACAGAUCUAUAAGGAUGGAAACUUCAAUUUUCAUCCUAAGUGCAGGAAACUAAAUAUCUCUCAUAUAUGUUUUGCCGAUGACCUUCUCAUGUUCUCUAGAGCUGAUGUGGUAUCAAUUCAGUUACUGCAUAAGGCUUUUCUUCAAUUCUCUACAGCUUCUAGAUUACAGGCUAAUACCAGUAAAAGUGCUGUUUAUCUGGAUUGUGUGCAACCAAAAUACAGUGAGGAAAUUCCUGAUACCUUGGGGUUCAGUGUAGGAACUUUGCCUUUUAGAUACUUAGGGAUCCAUUUGGAUUCCAAGAAGUUGGCUAUACACCAUUAUCUGCCUUUAAUUGAGAAGAUUUAACUUGUUGGUCUGCUAAGUUCUUGUCAUAUGCAGGCAGGUGUCAGUUGAUCAAAGCUGUGGUUUUUGGGAUGCAGUCUUAUUGGGCUCAGAUAUUCAUCAUUCCAAGAAAGGUUUUGAAAGUCAUUGAUUCUGUAUGUAGAACAUUUCUCUGGACUGGUAAAGCUGAUAUAUCAAGAAGAGCAUUGGUGGAUUGGGAGACAGUAUGCACACCUAUUUCUGCUGGAGGUCUCAACAUCUUAAACUUAUAUGUGUGGAACAAGGCAGCUGUCACUAAACUGUUAUGGGAUUUGGCUAGGAAAAAAGAUUGCUUAUGGGUUCGUUGGGUGNNNNNNNNNNNNNNNNNNNNNNNNNNNNNNNNNNNNNNNNNNNNNNNNNNNNNNNNNNNNNNNNNNNNNNNNNNNNNNNNNNNNNNNNNNNNNNNNNNNNNNNNNNNNNNNNNNNNNNNNNNNNNNNNNNNNNNNNNNNNNNNNNNNNNNNNNNNNNNNNNNNNNNNNNNNNNNNNNNNNNNNNNNNNNNNNNNNNNNNNNNNNNNNNNNNNNNNNNNNNNNNNNNNNNNNNNNNNNNNNNNNNNNNNNNNNNNNNNNNNNNNNNNNNNNNNNNNNNNNNNNNNNNNNNNNNNNNNNNNNNNNNNNNNNNNNNNNNNNNNNNNNNNNNNNNNNNNNNNNNNNNNNNNNNNNNNNNNNNNNNNNNNNNNNNNNNNNNNNNNNNNNNNNNNNNNNNNNNNNNNNNNNNNNNNNNNNNNNNNNNNNNNNNNNNNNNNNNNNNNNNNNNNNNNNNNNNNNNNNNNNNNNNNNNNNNNNNNNNNNNNNNNNNNNNNNNNNNNNNNNNNNNNNNNNNNNNNNNNNNNNNNNNNNNNNNNNNNNNNNNNNNNNNNNNNNNNNNNNNNNNNNNNNNNNNNNNNNNNNNNNNNNNNNNNNNNNNNNNNNNNNNNNNNNNNNNNNNNNNNNNNNNNNNNNNNNNNNNNNNNNNNNNNNNNNNNNNNNNNNACCAGUGGAGAAAUGCAAUCACUGCAUCUGCAUUUAUCACUACUGUUGCAUUGAUUUGGAGAAUAAGGAAUCACAUGAGGUUUGAAGGUGCUAAUUUUGUGGAAGAGUUGAUAUAUAAGGAGAUUGCAUUAUUGACACAUCUUUGUGGAAGAAAUUGCAGACAAUGGCAGGAUGGGCUGCGACAGCUCAAUUACUAUCCUUAGCUUGUUAGUUACUGCUUAAUGAUAGGAUACAUGUAUGUAAUGAGAGUAGAAUUGUAUAGUUACACUGUUAGCAUUGAGUAUAGAUCAGUAGCUAGUCCAAAUGCUGCUGGAUAGGAAUAUUGUACAUCUUUUUUGAGAUCAAUGGAAAAGCAAGUUUAAUCUAAAAAAAAUGUGUCUUUAUAUUUUUUGAUGUUACAUGAAUAGCCUGCUCCCGGUUCCCUUUUAUUCCUACCUAUGCAUCUUUUUCCCUGGUUUUCCUUUAUUCAAAUUCGCAUGCAAAUCUCUACUCAACUUGACCAUAACACGCACUUUGCUUUAGACAUUUUUUUGUUACAUCAUGUCUCUCCCUACCCUCACUCUCUUGUUUACUUUAUUACAUAGGCCACAUAGCCUGACUAACCUCUUCCAUGCUUUCCUUUCUUUUUUAUGUCCUUACAUUUCAUUUAAUAGUGCAUUAGUUGUUUUCAUCAUGCAAAAUAUGUGACAACACGUUGUUUUAUCUUUGCAUAAAGCAUGCUCCACAUCAUAUCCCACUCGUGCAUAACUAUUACCAUAAUGACACUGCAUGAGUGUUCGCGUUAUUCCUAAAUCACCCUUUAAAAUUGAAAGGUUUCAAUAAAAUUAGUGGAUCAACAGUGCAGUCGAUGGUUCCAUGCUUUUCCAUCUGAAGUUGUCCGCCUGAAGCUACCGGCCUAGACUCUUCUAGAAACUACCACUCUACAAUUCACUAUGCAUGCAUCAUGUGAAAACAUAAUAUGGUUUAGAAUGUUGUCCUCGUAAUAACUCGCUAAGAUAAGCCUUGUCCAAAGUCCGCCGGGAUUUCGAAAAAUACUAAUGUGAACAAUCACGAUCUCUGCAUUAUUUGGAGAAAAAAUGCUAAUAUGUUGAUCAUUUACAUAUAAAUAGCCAAAUUUGGAGGGGGAAAGGGCUAACAUUAUUUGUUUUUCAUAAAUGAGGCAUGAUAUCCCCAGGUUCAACAUGUUUCAAAAUAUCCUACCUUUAUUGGUGAUUGGGGUAAAAACUCGCACCAGGUGACAAAAACCAUGUGAAGAGUUUCCUCUGGAAUCUACCUUAUAUGUUUGAUAUUUAGCCAAAAAAUGCCUUAAUGGAGGCCGCCACCAUGUUAUGGGAAGAGAAAAGAGCCAUUUUCCAUGUUGGUGACAUAAAAAUGAUCCCUCUAUUAGAAGAAAUACGAGAUUUUGCUGGGCUUCAAUGGGAUACCCCUGGUUUGUUAGUACCGGAAAACCGCACUUCUCGAUGUUUCUUUAAAAUGAUGGGUAUUAUGGAAAAUGAUGAAUUAGCAUGUUUGAAGAAGUUUUGAAUACCAUUUAAUUUCUUCUAUGAUCAUUAUGGGCACAAGAAGUCGUACCGCCUUUACCAUUAUGAGUUUUCCAUCACUUCUUUUGUUGGACUCACCGCCGAUUUUUGUAUUCAUCAUCUGUUUUCAAGGGAAGUUGGUAUUUCCAAUACAAGGAGAAAGGAUCCACACUUUCCUAGCUAUGAUUGCUAAGACUUUAAUGGAGGGGAUUAAGGGGCAAACUUACACUAUUUUUCCUAUAAUUCUAGUUGAUAUGUACUGGGAUUUAGACCGUUGUAAAAAGGGGUAUAGGUAUUUUGAGGGUUAGAAUCUAUUACAGCAAGUGUGGUUGUUUGAGCGCCUUCAUAGAGGAGAAUACCGUCAAGUACAUCCACGACCACCAUGGAAUGACCACAAAGCCUAUCACCAUCCGAAGAGAAUGACUUUUAUUCCAAACAUGUCUGCGCAACCUGAAAAUGCUACGAGCUGGGCACAUUUCUUCAACAAUCUAAUUGAUGACAAGGUACAUUGGAUAUUAAUGUGGUUCCCUAGCAGUGAAUUCAUCAUUAGGUCGAGAGAUAAUUCUCAUCUAUUGCUAAUCGUAUUGUGGAAAAUAUAUCCCUAUGCUCCCACCAGAGUUAUGAUGCAAGCUGGGAGAAAGCAAGUUAUACCACGAGUAUUUAAAAUUAUCCAUACUUUGAAAACUUUCAAGAGAAUGCCAUUCCAUUCAAGAUCGAGGCACAACACAUGUGGAAUCAAAAGAUAGCUGUGGAGAAAUAUACCAUCGAGCAAGAUCAGUAUCAUCCCGACCACGUGCACAUCUAUCCAUCAUAAUUUGUAGAUGAUAUAGUGGGUGAUGUCAAGCCAAAGAUUAAUCUAAAGAAUAGGAUUGUACACGACACUGCUGAAGCACAAGUCAAAUACAAGAUGCUGUAAAAGAGAGUUUUGGAGUCUGAAUCCAGGCAUUUGGAAAAACAUAAAGUGGACAUGGAAGCAAUCAAUGAGUGGAGAAAACUCGCUACUAAAUGAGCAAAGAAGUUGAAGUAUUUGGAUAAGGGGUUAAUGGAGCUUGAAUGGAAAAUGAGAAAGAGGGUUGCAGGGUGUCAAAACAUGGAUGGCGAUGAAGGAAGGCUCCUAGCAAGGGCAUAUUUGCUAUUGUACAUAUGCGACCUGGGGAAUCUCAUCGAUGGAGCAAAGAAGGCCAAUCAUGGAGAAGGUUUCUCUGGGACAAAAUAGAUUAGGAAUGAUGUUUUACUUGCUUUUAGGCUCUUUUUAGACUUUCGUUGUAAUAAGGCAUAUGAAUUAGUGAUUUUUAUAUUUUUUGUCGUUUUAGUAGAUAUUUGGCUCUUUUAUCAUACUAAUCAAAUCCCACAGUUAUUGGCAUUCAUUUUCUCCAAAUCUAUAUGCCGCUUAGGCCUACCUUGGCACAAUAAGAUCCCGAGAUUAGGAAUCGAUUUAGAAUUUCGCUAAAUGGGAUUAAAUAUCGUAAACAUCCUUUUAAUACUCUUUACUGACUUGUUUACCUUAUUGUUUAUUUUCUUUUCUUUAUGUGUUUAUUACCAUCCCCUAAGGUUGGUUCGUGCAUACUAGCAUCAUCAGUAUAUCAUACCAGAUCUAGAGGUCCUCCUCCUCCUCCAAGUGAUCCCAUAAGCAAGGAAAAAUCCAUAUUGUAUGAUAUGAGAACACACAAUGCCUAAAACACAGAACCUUCCCAGAACACACAAAACGAACAAUGUGACGAACCCAAUGGUCAUCACCGUAAUUAUCCCUUUCUCCGUGUUUUAAGGCCUUGAAAAGCUCGCUUUUAGUUACCUCAAUUUGCAUGAGCUGUCCGAGCGCGAAGCCAGAAAAAUUUUAUCUUAAAAUAUGUGAAUUCUGUGGAACAUUUGAAAAAUAUUGAUAUUAAUAUUGAUAUAUUUGACUUUGGUUAACACUUUGGAUAAAUGGAUUCGGAAUCGUGAUGUGACGCCCCGAGAGGUCCUUAGGAAAAUAUUGAUUCGUGCGUAUUCCAGUAAUCAAAAUCCGAGGUCCCAAGCUCGAGUACGGAAUUUAUGAAAGAAAUUAUUUAUCUUAAAAUGAUAUGAAAAAUUGAAAGGAAAAUGAGUCAAAAAAUGUAGGUAUCAAGCUCGUAUAUUGGUUCUGACACCCGAUACAAGUCUUAUAAAUGCGUUAAGCGCUUUCUGUGAAGUUUGGUUGGAAACGGACAUCGUAUGAUGUGUUUCGGACUAUUAGUUCCAAAUUUGGAAGUUAUGAAGUUUAGAAGAAAAUCAUAUGUUUUGAGGCUUGAUUCUAUGUAAAUGAUGUAAUUUUGGCAAUUUGAUCACGCGAGCAAGUACGAAAGAUGUUUUUGAUGUUGUGUGUAUGUUUGGGUGGGAGCCCCGACGGCUCGGGUGAGUUUGGAUAGGCUUCGGAUUGCAUUUUCUCAUUUUUGAAAAUCUGGUAUGCUGGCUUCUGUGGUUUUUGCAAAUGUAAAUAUUUAAUCGCAAAUGCAAAGCUGGGGUUAUUUGCAUAGGAUCGUAAAUGCAAUCCACUUGAUCUCAAAUUUGAAGGGGAGGAAAAUGGGUUGGAGUUGCAAAUGUGAUGCCCUUGCUCGCAAAAGCGAGAUCUGCCCUGAUCGCAAAAGCAAACAAAAGUUCACAAAAGUGACCCCUGCCCCCCAAAACCAAGUUUGCAAAUGUGAAUUGAAUCUCCCAAAUCCCAAGCCUGCUUGAGAACCCAGCUUCGAAAUUGCUAUACCUGCACCUGCAUAUUUCAUACUUAGACGAUUUUAAAUCUCAUUUUUCAUAUUUCAAAAUACAAAAACCCAUUGGCGAUUUUUCACGAAAUAUUUCUUCUCCAAAUCAUUUGUAAGUACAACCUUUACUAAAUUUCUUCAAUCUUAAAAAUCAUUUAUCAUUAUUUCAUCUUAAAAAUCAAGAUUUUCCAGGGGUGAAAAUGGGGAUUUGGGGUAGAACCUAGGUUUUCUUAAAAUUAGGGAUUUGGACCUCAAUUUGAGGUAUGAUUUCAAAACAAAACAUAAUAUGAACUUGUGGGGUAAUUGGCAACCCAAUUUUUGUUUGAACCUUGGGAUUUGACCACGUGGGCCGGGGGAAAUUUGCGAUUUUUUGGGUAAUACUUUGGGAAACUCAUUAUUAUCCAUUCAAAUUAAUUUAACUAGAAUUUACUCAUAAAUUUGAGUAAUUUUUGACUAGAUUUGAACGGUUUUGUGGCAAAUUCAAGGGGUAAAGCUAUUCUAGAAGCGUGAGUAGAGUUUGGAGCUUUCGAGGUAAGUGUUUGUUCUAAGUUUGGCUUGAGGGAUUAGGAUUAGGAUAUUAUUUGCUACGUGUUAACUGCGGAGUACGGUGUAUAGGAAUGGUGACAAUUAUCUAUGCACCGGAGUCUAGCAUGACCGUGAGCCGUAAUUGCUUUUGAAUUAGAAAGAUGUGAUAAAAUAGAGUUGUUUAGUUGAUAAUUUAAUUAUGAAGUGGUAGUAGAGAAGAAAAUGAGAUAAAGGAGGAAGUGUAGCAUUUUUCCAUUGCCGGGACUUAUUUGUUGAUUUGUUCUCCCUUGCCGGGAUGUUUAAUCUUGUUGUUUAUUCCCUUCCCCGAUUGGUUGUGACUNNNNNNNNNNNNNNNNNNNNNNNNNNNNNNNNNNNNNNNNNNNNNNNNNNNNNNNNNNNNNNNNNNNNNNNNNNNNNNNNNNNNNNNNNNNNNNNNNNNNNNNNNNNNNNNNNNNNNNNNNNNNNNNNNNNNNNNNNNNNNNNNNNNNNNNNNNNNNNNNNNNNNNNNNNNNNNNNNNNNNNNNNNNNNNNNNNNNNNNNNNNNNNNNNNNNNNNNNNNNNNNNNNNNNNNNNNNNNNNNNNNNNNNNNNNNNNNNNNNNNNNNNNNNNNNNNNNNNNNNNNNNNNNNNNNNNNNNNNNNNNNNNNNNNNNNNNNNNNNNNNNNNNNNNNNNNNNNNNNNNNNNNNNNNNNNNNNNNNNNNNNNNNNNNNNNNNNNNNNNNNNNNNNNNNNNNNNNNNNNNNNNNNNNNNNNNNNNNNNNNNNNNNNNNNNNNNNNUAAUCUUGUUGUUUAUUCCCUUCUCCGAUUGGUUGUGACUGUUGAUAGGGUGAGGAAGAGCGAUUAUGCACGAAGGGUCAUUCUGUGCCAUGUAUUGAUAAUUAUGCACGAAGGGUCAUCGUGUGCCAUAUUUUUAAUAAUUGAGCACGAAGGGUCAUUUCGUGCUUUGAUAUGAGAGUUAUGUGAGGAAAAGCACGAAGGGUGAUGUCGUGCACUUUAUUCAAAUUUUUUGGUUAGAAUGAGAGUAAAAGCAUGAAGGUUGGUGCCGUGCAAUUGUUAAUUUACCUGUUCCCUUUAGUUGAUGUUAUUUGUCCAGUUGCAGCUCUUUGUUCGUUAAUCUUAUGUUUGAACACUCACACCCCACAGUAUGCCCCUCCCUAUUAACUUUUAAAAUUAUGUAUAUACUUCCUAUUAUUGAACAUAUAUCUGUACAAGUUAUUAGUGGUAGGUCCAGUGUAGCCUUGUCACUACCUCACCGAGGUUAGGCCAGGCACUUGCUAGAAUAUGGGGUAAGUUGUGCUGCUACUACACUCUGUGGAUUUCAUUUGCACAUAUCAGGAUGUAGCUUUCGGACAACAACAGUACAAGAUCAGGAGCGUACCUUCAGUCCAGGGACUCUUGAGGUAGCCUCGCUAACGUCCGCAGGCCUGGAGUCUUAUUUGUCAUAAUUCAGCUUGUUAGUUUUGUAUUGAAAGAGACUGUUAAGACGGUUGUAUUUAGAAAAUGUUAGAUGUUCGUGAAUACUGUGAUACCAGUAUUGGGUAGAGGAUUUGUUAAACUUUCGCAUUUUCUUUUAGUAAAGUAUAAUCGAGACUUCCGCUUAAUUGUUAAACGUUUUAAUGAUGUUAAUAUUGUUGAUGUUCGCUAAAGAAGUAUUUGAUAUUUGCCUUUCCUAGCUCCUAUUAGUAGGCGUCAUCGCAACUCCCGAUGGUGGGGAAUCCGGGUCGUGACAAGAUGCUAUCAGAGCACUAGGUUACUUAGGUCUCACAAAUCACGGUCAAACUAGGUGGAGUCUGAGGAUCGGUACAGAGACGUCUCUAUUUAUCCCCCAAAGCCAACAGAGUUAGGAAAAAUUUCACUUUGUUCAUUAUUCUUGUGCGAUUUUAAUUCUCAAAUAUUAAUAUUCAUUCUACUCUGAUCUUUCGUAGAUGGUGAGAACACGAGCUUCUUCUUUUACCGCGCAGCAUCCCAAGCCCCCAGUAGCAGCUCCUAUCAAGGUUAGAGGGCGAGGGCGAGGCCUAGGAAUAGUUCAACCCCGAGCAGCAGUCCCAGAGGUGGGCACUUAUGUUAACUAUGAUGAGGAGGUUCCAGCACAAGAAGCUCCAGUGGGCCCAGCUCAUGUCCUAGAGUUUCAUAUCAACUCCAGGAUGAUUUGGUCCGACUGGUAGGCUUUAUAGAGAGUGUCUCUGAGGCGGAUUUGCUUUCUGCAGCACCAACAACAUCUCAGGCUGGGGGAGGAGUUCAGACUCCUGCUACGCGCACUCUGGAGUAGGUAGCUCCUCAGCCUCAGGCUCCAGUAGUUCAGCCACCUGUAGUAGCCCAGCCGGGUAUUCCAGCUCAGACCGGUGAUGGUGCAGUGAUGUCCGUGGAUUCUUUGUCGAGGCUUGAUCGGUUCACCAAGCUCUUUACCACCACCUUGGGAGGGCUUACACAGUCAAUCAUUUGGGAGGAAUAAGUAAAGAAUCCGACCGCAAGAAGCCUAUCAUUGAAACUGGCGCAGACGGUCUUUGGAGAAAGAAGCAAGCAAGAGAGUAUUGUGUUGUUGAUCAUGUGAACAAAACCCCCACUCAGAUAUCCACUCAAUCACUACCAUAAUUCUGAGCGCAUAGGAAUGCAGUGACUGAAUUGUUGAACGAAUAUAUAUACCCAACAACAUCAGUAGCACUGAAAUUACCAACAUGGUAGGACAAGACUUGGUAAGCCACAAGAUCACUAUUCACAAAGACGAGUUGCCAUCAGAAGGUCGGAGUCACAACAGGUAACUACAUAUCACAGUGCAGUUUGAAGAUAAAUUUAUCGCUAGGGUCCUGAUAGAUGGGGGUUCGAGGCUCAACAUUUGUCCAUUGACUAUUUAAAGAGGUUGAGUAGAGAUAUGCAUGAGAUACGAGCAGGAACUAUGAGUGUGAAAGCAUUCAAUGGGUCCUAAAGGGCCAUUGUUGUUGGGAGGGCCAUGGAUAUUUGUUGCUAGGGCUAUAGCCUCUAUGCUACACCAGAAUGUGAAGUUUGAAUGGAAUGGUUAGAAAGUAAUCAUCCACGGGGAUAGAAAUAAUCCUAUUUAAACCAAUCAAAUUGUUCCGGUUGUCGAGAAUAGACAAAAGUUGGGUAGAGAAAUAUACCAUCACAUCAAGCGCGUCAAUGCAAUUGAGAAAGCAAAUUGGUGGAGUAAAAAAAUUGAAAAACAUAUUGUUAUGAAUAGAGUAUGAACCAGGCAAGAAUCUCGGCAAGAAUCUCAAUGGGAUCACCAAACUGAUACAGUUAAAGCGUCAUGACACAACUUUUCGGCUUGGUAUGAAUACACCUGGCACCAGUAUCAGAAUUGGUCGCCACCAUACCGUGGUCAUUACUACCCACCUGAGCAGCAAAUACUGCAUCUGCACCAGACAUUUCAACAGAUUGAUGUGAUGUGGGGAUCUAAAGAAGAUGAGGCUUUAGUUGGCCUGAUAAAUCUAUUUAUAGAUAAUGAAGAUAUGGAUUGCACUGCAAUAGUUGAGGAGGAGGAUGAGGAGAAAGACCUUACAAUUCAGACCGUAGGAAAAGGAGUUGUUCUAAAGAACUGGACUGUAACAUUGUCCUGGGCCCGUCGAGUUCCUAGGUAGCCUUGCAAUUAUUAUCUAUUUUUAAAAGCUAUUUUCAGCAUUUAAGACAUUCUCAGUAUUUCGUUUUAGAUGUAUUUUGUUUUGAAAUUAUUGCUCGAUUCAUCGAACCGUACUUGUUUUAAUAUUUUCAACAUUUCUCUAAUGCAUUGCUAUUUUAGCAUUUAUUAUUAUCCUUUACAUUUUCUCUAUACAGCAUUAUUUUUACUUAUCCCGGUGAACCAAUGACUGUGACAUGUAAUGAGACAAUGCAUCAUAAAGAUAGUGAUUCAGAGCAAAUAGAAGAAGAGGAUGUAAUACCUGAGGAAAGUUGCAGAGAGGUGGAAAACUUUGAGAACAAGCCUAAGUCCAAUUUUCAAAAUACAAAGAUAGUCAAUUUGGGAGAUUCUGAAAAAGUCAAAGAAACUCGUAUAUGCAUUCACCUGUCACCAUCAGAGAAAUAAGAGUACAUCUGUUUCCUGAAAGAAUAUAAAGAUAUCUUUGCAUGUUCAUAUGAUGAUAUGAUUGGUUUGAGCACAUCUAUAGUAGCUCAUAAACUACCUAUAAAUCCGAUAUGUCUACCUAUAAAGUAGAAGCUCAAAAAUUCCAAGCUGGAUAUAAGUCUGUAAAUGAAAGUGGAAGUCACCAAGCAGAUCAAAACUAAGGUCUUAGAGUGGUCGAAUAUCCUACAUGGUUGGAUAACAUCGUGCUAGUUCAAAAGAAGUUUGGGAAGGUCGGAGUAUAUGUCAACUAUCUAGAUUAAAACAGAGCAAGUCCCAAAGAUGAUUUCCUGUUACCCAACAUACACAUACUAAUCAAAAAUUAUGCCAAACAUGAACUCCAAUCCUUUGUGGAUUGCUUCGAGGGAUAUCAUCAAAUCUACAUGGAUGAAGAAGAUGCCGAGAAAAAAAACUUUAUUACAUAGUGGGGAGUGUAUUGCUAUAAAAUAAUGCCAUUUGGCCUAACGAAUGCUCGGGCCACUUAGCCAUGAAAACCAUUUUUCAUGACAUGAUACACAAGGUGAUAGAAUUAUAUAUGUAAGACAUCGUCAUCAAAUCCAAAAAUGGUACAGAUCAUAUAGCGUAUUUGAGAAAGUUCUUUAAUCAGCUUCAAAUGUAUAAUCUGAAAUUGAACCCUGAGAAAUGUGCUUUUGGUGUCCCUUCCGGAAAGAUAUUAGGAUUCAUCGUCAGCCGCUAAGGAAUAGAGCUAGACCCAUCAAAGGUUAAAGCUAUCCAAUAUUUGCCACCUCCGAAGAGCAAGAAAGAUUUGAUGAGUUUCUCAGGGUGUCUCAAUUACAUCAGAAAAUUCAUAGCAUAAUUGAUAGUGAUCUAUGAGCCAAUUUUCAAAUGUUAAAGAAGGAUGUCGCAACACGUUUGACUGAAGACUACCAGAAAGCUUUUGAUAAGAUCAAGGAAUCCACACUGCCAGUCCUGGUCCCCUCAGAACCUAGUAGACCUUUGCUACUCUAUCUUCUAUACUAGAUGGAGCUUUCAGUUGUAUCUUGGGACAGCACAGCGAGAUAUGAAGAAAGGAACAUGCCAUAUAUUAUCUGAGUAAGAAGUCAACACCCUAAGAAGCACAUUGUUCUUUGCUAUAAUGCACCUGUUGAGCGCUAAUGAGGAUAGCUCAGAAACUGAGGCACUAUUUCUAUUCAUAUACCACAUAUCUCAUAUCAAUGAUGCAUCCCUUGAAAUAUAUUUUCCGCCUACAGGGAAACUAACAAAAUCACAUACAAUGUUGAGUGAAUCUGAUAUUGUCCUUGUGACUUAGAAGGUUGUCAAGGGACAAUAAUUAGCAUAUCAUCUUGCAAAAAAUCUGGCAGGAGGAGAUUGCGAACCACUAAAAGUUGUUCCCGAUGAAGAAGUAGUAUUUGUAAUAUAAUAUCACCGAAACAUAUGAUGGUUGGAGAAUAUUCUUCAAUAGAGUUGCAAACAUAAAAGGAGAUUUUUUUGUUAGAGACAGAUCAAAUUAUCCGAUAUUCAUAAAACUUAUAUUUUAGUGCACCAACAAUAUGCCAAAUACGAGGCUUGCAUCUUGGCGCAUAAAUUGGCCAUUGACAUGAAUAUGCAGGAAUUGCUUGUAAUUGGUAACUCAGACCUUCUUGUACAUCAGGUUCUAGGAGAGUGGGCUACAAAGAAUACCAAAAUACUACCGUAUUGUUAUCACGUGCAAGAGUCGAUGAAAAGAUUCACAAAGACAUAAUUCAAACAUGUUCCAGAAAUCCAGAAUGAGUUCAACGAUGCGUUGAAAAAUUUAUCUUCCAUGAUACAACACCCAGACAAGAAUUUCAUUGACCAUGUUCCAAUAAGAAUCCAUAAUCAGUCAGCUUAUUGUGUUCAUGUUGAAGAAGAAACAUAUGUGAUUAUGUGGUUCCAUGAUAUCAAGGAAUACUUUCCAAAAGGAGAAUACUCGGAGCAUGCAAAUAAUAAUAAAAAAUAAACACUUUGAAGAUUAUCCAACUGUUUAUUCCAAAGUGGAGGAAUUCUGUUCAAAAAAACUCUAGACCUAGGAUUAUUAUGGUUAAUUGAUGCCGAGAAAGCUUCCAAACUGAUCAAGAAGAUACAUGCCGGAACAUGCAAACCACACAUAAACGGCUUCGUUCUAGCCAAGAAGAUAUUGAGGGCGGGAUAUUUGAUGAUUGUAGAAACAGAAUGCAUCAGGAAUGUCCAAAAGUGUCACCAGUGUCAAAUAUAGGCAGAUAUGAUACGGGUAACACGAAAUGAACUCAAUGCUACAAGUGCACCUCGGGCUUUUUCCGCUUGGAUAAUGGAUGUAAUCGGUCCGAUCUAGAUUGCCUCUUCAAACGGGCAUAGGUUCCUUUUUUGUGUCCAUAAACUACUUUAAAAAUGGGUUGAGGCUGCAUCUUACAACGCUCUAACCAAGAAAGUCCUCGCAUAUUUCAUCAGGUAUCAUAUUAUUUGUUGAUUCGUGGUACCAGAAUCCAUCAUCAGUGAUAAUACUGCCAACCUCAAUAAAGACUUAAUGAAAGCUAUGUGUGAAACGUUAGAAAUCAAGCAUUAUAAUUCCAUGGCAUACAUACCUCAAAUGAGUCGAGUUGUGGAGGCUACAAACAAGAAUAUCAAGAAAAUACUGAGAAAGAUGGUAGACAACCACAAGCAAUGACAUGAGAAAUUACCAUUUGACUUAUUGGUGUAUCAUAACACAAAGCGCAAAUCAACGAGAGCAACUCCAUACAUGUUGGUCUACAGUAUUGAAGUUGUUUUUCCCACCGAGGUCAAAAUUCCUUCCUUAAGAAUUAUACAAAAAGCUGAACUCAGAGAUGCGGAAUGGAUACAAAGUCGCUAUGAAGAAUUAGCUCUUAUUGAUGGAAAACGAAUGGAUGUGGUAUGCCAUUGUCAACUUAUCAAAAUAGAAUGUCAAGAUCUUUCAACAAAAGGGUCAGACCUAGACAGAUGACACCAGGGCAACUAGUGUUGUAGUGGAUCUUCCCGUAUCAAGAUGAAGCCAAAGGAAAAUUUUCGCCCAGUUGGUAACGCCCUACAUGGUUUACUGAUUACUAACAGGAGGAGCACUCAAACUUGCAAAAACGGAUGGACAAAUUUGGCCAAAACCCAUCAAUUUAGACGUAGUCAGAAGAUACUAUGUUUAGGAUUGUUCGCACAUUUUUAUCUAAUCUAACCUAACUACACUUGACCUGAUUACCGUUUAAGAGGGGAUAGGUUGGAAUCCCUGUAGGUUGGGUCACAUCUUAAUAAUAUCUUCAUUUCCCCCAUGGUCAGAAAUUAGGGUAGAAUUUUUCAGGAGGACCCUCAAAAUUUUGGAGCUAGUCCAACUAAUUUCAUCACAUGUGGAACAGUCAAAAUAAUAGCUUAUUAAAUUGGGGCAUAAUUUUGAGGAGGACACUCAAAAUUCUUGUGCAAAGAAGUCACAGUAUAAGUCACAGUCAUUGUUUCAUCUAAUUUACCUGAUAUUGCAUACUACUAUGUGUCGCGCCCCCUUUUUUCUCGCGAAGUCGAGUUUAUUACAUUUGGAAGGACAACUCAUUCCCUUUGGGAAUUAGGCUUGCAGUGGAAGAGUGUCCACCUAAUGAUUAGGCUGCAUUAGGAUACCAAAAGGAUUUGAUUUGAGUAAUCAAAGACAGGGCAAGGGCUUGAAAAUAUUCUAAUGGGAAGGUGUUAGACACCCCUCAGAAUCCACUAGUGUGGUUCCUGGCCAGACAAUUAUUCUGAAUUUAGGACCCGAUAUGAGCAGAUAAGGCUCAAAUAAGAGGGAAUUUUGGCAUAUAAUGGUUUGAAGUAAACAAAGUUUGAAAGAACAAUUAGAAAAGCUGUUUUUCAAAAGAAAGAGCUGAAAUGCUAAAAGAAAUAAAGAAUAAAGGGAGGGGGUUCCUAGGAUUAUUAAAAAUAUGGAUCAUCCCACACAAUGUUUUGUAAUCACUCCUCAGUGAGGGGCUACACAUGACAUUAUCGUGUGGUCAUCAUAUCCAUAUCUAUUCUUCCCACACCGUUAAGGUAUUUAAAGGGCGGAUUGGUGUCGAUUACUUAUUGCAUGCUAUUACCUCACCCAUACUUAUGAGUCCCCGAGGCAUUUAGGACUAUUAAUCCUAAAAGGGAUGGAUAUAAGGCUUAUUUGAGGUUGCAAAAUAUUUAAAACUCUAAGGCAUUAUGCAAAACACACAUUGCAUAUUAUGGGGAAAGAAUAUAACAAACAAAGGCUCAGGUAUACCUCCUUGAACAAAAUAGCAUAUAAUUAGCAUGACCUUCACAUACUGUUUAAGGUCUGAUAAAAAAAUUAAAGUUGAAGGAGUCCAAAUAUUAAGGAAGAUUGGUUUAUUUCAUAAAUUAGACAAGAAGUCUGAAUAAGGCCUGCCUCCUGGUUGUAAUAAUUAAAGAAACAGAUUCAAUUUAUAAUUAUUUCCCUAAGGCUUGCCUAAGGUUUCAAAUGAAAAUUCUAUAGGCAUGAUAUCUACUGGAUUCAGGAGGUAAUAAGACAUUAAAACUCAAAACGAUCAUUUUAAAUCCCAUAUGCAUACUUGUUAAACUAGUUAAGCGGGGGACUGAGAUUAUUAAAGAGAGGUUGAAUUUGAACGAAUCGAUUACAAGUUCUCCAACUGACACUAUUUAUUAUUACUGAUUUUAUAUCUAACAAUAACUGAAGUGAAUAAAAUUAAAUUAGAAACUCAUAUAGGCAUACUUUCUAUGCAUUACUAAUUUCAAACCUCAUAGACGUAGGGUCAUAAAGCAGAAAACCUUAUGACACGGUAUCUAAUUGCAGAAUUGUUUUGAAGCUUAUAUAUAUAGUAUCUGAAAUGUGAAACUUUGCUUAAAACCUUAUUGACAUAUAUAGGCAUAUUUUCUAUACGUAAUUGAAUAUACUGAAUUAGAACAACUUACAUGCAUGAUUUCUAUAUGUAUUGAGUAUGCAGAAUUAAAAUAGACCUAUAGGCAUAAUUUCUAUAUGUAUCGAGUAUUAGAGUAGACCAAUAGGCAUGAUUUCUUUAUGUAUUGAGUAUGGAGAAUUAGAAUAGACAUAUAGACAUGUUCGGGAUGUACCAAGCCACAAUCCCCAGUCAUAAACAAACCCUGCACCUACCAUGGGAUGCGAUUCACUCCCUAAUAUAGCGAACACAAUGUGAUAAACCAGGGUUUCAAACCCUCAAGCCAUCAUCUAUACAGACUACUCACCUCUAACCGGCCGUAGACUGGUCUGCAAUGCCUUUUCCUUUUUGUAUCGACCUUCUCGCGUGUCGAAUCUAGUCAAAAUCACAAUGAAUACAUAAAUAUAGGCUAAAGACACAUAACCUUGUAAGCACAUGAUUUUUGCCCUACAUGAAGAUAACUCCUAAAAAUAAACCAAAAAAAUAAUGUUUUAUGGAUUUUAGAAGUUUUUCUUUAUUCAGAUGCAUUUCAUGCAUUUUUAAUAUUUUAGAUUCACAAAAAAAUUACAAAAAAUGUCAUGUUUUAAUUUUAUGUCACCUUAGGUCCAAUUUUCAUAUAGGAAUUAAUUUCCGUAAGAAAAAUCAAAAAAAAAUUAUCAUCUUUAGCUUUUAAUCUUUAAAAUUAUUAUUUUUCUUUAGUUUUAAGUUAAUUAGUUUUUUUAAUGUCUACAAAAAUAAUUUAGGAUUUUAAUUAAUUAAAGAAAAGAAAAAGUAAAAAGUAAAGAAAGCAACAUAUUUUUGGUCUUGUUUCUUUUAAAAUUGGGUCAAUUUCUAGAAUAGCCCAACUAAAUUUUAAGACCCAAAUUUCAUCAAGUUCAUUACUCCAUCCUAAAACCUAGACUCAAAUCUAUAUAACAAUCCCUACAUCUACACACAAAAGGACCAUAACGCCAAGAGAGAAGAGCGGCAGCCAUUGUAGAUCAAAUAAUUCCACCGUCGCUCUGCUCUUUGUCAAUCUGCUCGACACCCUCACCCGUUAUUCUGCUUCCCCACAAUUCCAAAACCUUCAGCAACCGACGUCCACCAAAACCCCAUCGCCGGCGAACCAACCCACACCAUUCAUCUUCUCAUUUUUCAACCUUGAGCGAUUCACCCCAGCUCAUCAUCGCUACUGCUUCUUUCCGUUCCUCCACCCUCUACUGUCUUUGUAUCGUCGGAGUUGCAUCGUCGAUGAAGAACGAGUAGAAAACAGUCCAAUAUUUCAUCACCAUUGUUCCAGCGUGCUUUACUUCUAUGUCGGGUGGGUGUAGAUUUAACAGGCUCUGGAUUUUGUGACGUUUUUUGUGCUGAUUUUGGCCAGAAUCAAUUCUCGGCAUUCCUUCGCGCGUGUCGUUUGGCUGUAGUUCCAGUAUCGCUGUCGUUAUGGUAGCGUCAUUGGUCCCGGCGAGUGUCGAGGUUUGGAUCAUAGUUCUGUCGAGGUUUCUAUUUUGGUCCAGUGAUUAAUUUUGUUUUUUCUGCGUCAAGAUUCAAUGUAAGGUUCUUUUGCUUUGUUUUCAUUUUGGUUUUGUUCUGAUCAUAUGCUGUUGACUAUCCAUUUCGUUUUCUUCAGUAAAUUACGUGUGGUGCAUUUUUUUUUUUUUUCGUUUCUUCGUGUGUUUGUUCUGAUUUAUAUAAAUAGGCAUUAUUAUGUUCUUUAUUUCCAUUAAGUUACUUAUUGCACUGUAUUGAUUUCCAAUCUUGCGCGCAUUGUUUAAAUUUGUCACUUUGUUUAUAUUGAUUACUUCUUGUGUUUGCUCAUAUUUUAAUGCGUGCACUUGAUGUGUUACAAGCUGUAGAGGUUUGAAUUGUCCCAGCACUCUCCACAUAAGUCAUCCCCUUUUGAUUUAAUAUAACCAGAUAUUUUUGACAAUGCAUUCGCAAAAUCUUCAAAAAGAUUUAUUCUUACCAGAAUAUGUCGGUAUUCUAGCUGUCCAAUAUUGCAAUUACCUUUGACGUCGAAAUGUUUAGGUAAAAUCCGAUGCAGCUCCUGAAGUUCUGGUUUUCCAUAUGAAAAUUUAACAAUAAUUGCUUGGUGAAGACCUUCCUCCCUGGUGAAUGAAUUCACUUCAUCUACUGUGAUAGUUGUCCAAUGUUGCAAUUACCUUUGACGUCGAAAUGUUUAGGUAAAAUCCGAUGCAGCUCCUGAAGUUCUGGUUUUCCAUAUGAAAAUUUAACAAUAAUUGCUUGGUGAAGACCUUCCUCCCUGGUGAAUGAAUUCAAUUCAUCAACUGUGAAUUCAACAGUAGGAAUUCCUUGUUGAAUUGUAACAGGACAAAGUUCCAGAUUUGGAAUUUUUGUGACUGAAUUUUGUCCAGCGAGCAUCGAUGCAUAUCACUGUUUUUGUCCGCGAAUAGAUUGAUUUUCUAAAUAGAUAUGACCAACCUCUCCCACAGCCAGAUGCUGGGGAGAGGUCGUAGCAUCCAUAGUUACGAAGUGCUUCAAAAUUGUUUCAUCAUUUCCACUUCAAGCCGCUGCUAGUAGAAAUUGAAGAAACGACAAGUUACUAGCUUUGUCAAAUUCUUACGAUCUAAAGGAUUGUUGCUGCUCGAAUAAAGUUUGAACCCUUAUCUAACAGAUUAGAUCAAACCGUAAGCUUCACAUCAAAAUGAAUGAUCAAAUUUGGAAUUCGAAUGAACAGUAUGACAAAUCUAUAAUUCAUGAUCUGUUGCGUUUGGAUUAGGUUUUUGAAAUAAAAUCAAAGGAAAGGUCUUCUCCACAAGAAGGAGAUUGUCGUGACACCAAGAAUAGUACUGUACACCACCGAAUUCCGGCUAAAUGCCCGAUGAAUAGUGGAGGAAUCACUGUUCAUACACUACUCACGCGUCUUUGUCUAAAAAAACUAACAACACGUGUAUUUAACUAUCCGACCUAAAAAAAAAGUUUUUAAGUUUUAUGCAUGGAUACACUAUCAGUGUGUGUAGUUUUUUUUGGUUGUUUCUUCGUGUGUUUGUUCUGAUUUAUACAAAUAGCCAUUAUUAUGUUCGUUAUUUCCAUUAAGUUACUUAUUGUACUAUAUUGAUUUCCAAUCGUGUGCGCAUUGAUUAAAUUUGUCACUUUGUUUAUAUUGAUUACUUCUUGUAUUUGCUCAUAUUUGGAAAUUGGAAUGCUUCAGGAAUUUUUAUUCUUUACUAAAUUUAUUAUUUUGAAAGUGCCAAUCAAUCUUUAAAUGUACAUGCAAUACUAGUGUAUGAAAAUAAUUUAUGAACACCUCUAAUUUGUUUAAGCUGAUUAAAGCCCAUUGGAAUAAUUUGAGACGAGCCUUGCCAAAUAAAUACAAAUUGCGGGGCCCUCAAUAAUACAAUAACAAUAAUAACAACGACCCAGUAUAGUCCCAAAGAGUGGGGUCUGGGGAGGGACCCCUACCCGAAAGGGCAAAGAGGUUGUUUUCAAUCGACCCUCGGCUCAGUGAAGAAAAGGAAAAACAAAAACAAAAACAAAUUACCUAGAAUAUGGGAGGGCCGUUUAGCGAAUUUCGCGGCUUUCCCCAAAAUAAUAAUACAUUAUAAUCUUUAGACGCGCUUUAAUUAAAUUACUCUCAUAAGCUAGGGUGUGCAUCGAUGCAACCCAAAUCCAAAUCUCGACGAAAUCGAAAUGUGUUGACGACCACGGGUGCCUUGAUGGCGACGGGGUUCGGAACGCAUUUUCACGACAUCGUAUUUCUUGUAAAAUAAAUAAUUGUCAACAUGGUUCAAAAAUGGAGACGAGCCUCACCAAAAUAAAUAAAUGUGGGGCCCUCAGUAAUUGGUUAUUAAAAAUAAUCAGAAUUCGGAAGGGCCGUUUAGCGAAUUUCAAGGGCUUUUCCCAAACCAAUAUUACGUUAGAACCUUUAUGUGCGAUUUAAUUAAAUUAGCUUCUUAAACACAAGUGCACAUUAAUGCGACCUAAAUCCAAGUCUCGACGGAGUCGAAAUGUGUUGACGACCACGGGUGCCUUGACGGCGACAUAGUCAGAGACGCAUUUUUACGACGUCAUAAGUUUUUCAAAAUAAUAAUGGUAAAAGCGGUAUAUAAAUAAAAGGCAUAUAUGUUAGCAUACUUUAAAAUCAGGUUUUAAUCAAAUACAAUAAUUUAAGCGGCCUUGCUAGAACAACGCGUUCCGAGGGUGCCUAACACCUUCCCUCGGGUCAACAGAAUUUCUGGUUCGCACUCCAAUUGGGAAGACGAAAAUUUUCCUCGGUUCGGUCUUCAAUAAAAACACCGGUGACUUGGGACACCAAAAUCCAAACCUUUCCCAAGUGGCGACUCUGAACAAAUAAAUAAUCCCGAUCCGAAUAAUAUCACCUUAAAUGGAAAAACUACCUUAUACAUUAUCCUUUGGGGUAAGGUGUGUAAAAAAGGAGGUGUGACAAACUCCAUAAAAAAUACUCGAAAAGUAUUAAAAUUCACGAAGUUGGUAAAACUCGAACCCGGACCCACUUCCAAAAAAAUUCCAAAAAUCACAUCAACAGAUUUCUCGUCUUGCCACGAAUCCGUACAUAUAAAGUUCACCAAAAACAAAGUUCAAUUGGCCAUUCAAAUCCCCAAAAUUCACUUUCAAAAAUCAAACCCUAGUUCAUCACUAUUUCAACCCACUUUCAUGGAUUUGAGUGUUCAUUCUUAAACAAAAUGGUGUUUCUAAGUAAAAGACUUACCUCCAAUCAACACCUGUCAAAAACCCCCUUCAAAUCACUCAAAAAGCUCUCGUGGCGGAGUAAAAAAAGUGGUAAAAGUGUUGGGUUCGCAACUGAAGUGCCCUUAAAAUCAUUCUCUCCAGCUUAACAUCCCUUCAUUGCGAACACGAUGCCAUCUCGCGUCCGCGAUGGAAAAAAAAUGAACUAGGCCAAUUUCCUUCAUCGCGAACGCUUUCCAGUGACGCGAACGCGAAGCACAACUCGGGACCCCCAACAUUCCCUCUUCGCGAACGCGUGGAGCCAGGAGCGGACGCGGAGGCAAACAAGCCCCAACCUACGCGAACGCGGCCUCCUUUCGCGAACGCGAAAAACAAAAUUCUUGGCUUUCCAAUUCCUUCUACGCGUUCGUGACAUACCCCUGCGAACGCGAAGAACAAAGUUCCGUAACACCAACAGCGGAAAACCUGCUAUCCUCUAAGUCCAAGAAAUAGCCCGAUUGACCAUCCGAAAUUACACCGAGGCCCUCGGGACCUCAACCAAACGCAAAGAUAAGCUCUAAGACCUCAUUCAAACUUUCGCGAGCCAUAAAAUCACUAUCGUAAACAUCAAAAUCAUAGAAUUACCACGGAUUCAAGCCUAAGUUAAACUAAAACUUUCGAAUCUUGCAUUUGAUCUAAAAUGCGACCAAAACAUCUCCGAAUGACCUGAAACUUUGCACGCUUAUCCAAAAUCACCUAAAGGAGCUACUACUACUGUCGGAAUUCAAUUCUUACCCCCAGAUCAAAAUCUUACCUAUCAAUCGGAAUUCACCAAAAUUCAAACUUAACCUAUUCAAGCCUAAUUCUACACCGGCCCUCCAAAUUCAAUUCCGAUUGCACUUCUAACUCACAAAUCAUCACCCGAAACUAGCAUAAUCAUCUAAAAUCCAUUCCGCGCCCUCUAACUCAUAGGAAAACAUUCGGUUGACUUUUCCAAACUAACCUUCUCAUAAAGAGACUAAUUGUCUCAUUUCUAACCGAACUCUAUCCGAAUUACUUCAAAUUCUCCAAACAUGUAUAAUGAAACAUAUAUAAGCAUAAACCGGGGAAAACGGGGCGGUAAUUAACGUGACAACAGUUUGGGUCGUUACAUCCUCCCUAAGUUAAACAAACGCUCGUCAUCGAGCAGGCCCAGACUUGUAGUAGGAGCCAACCAAUACUUGAAUGCACUUACCAAAAUAUACCAGGGGUGAUCCCACGUCACCCUAACUCCUCUACGCCUCGUAAUACAACACAACUAAAAUUUCACGGUUCAUCAAGACCAUAACCGUAGAAUCACAUUGCACUUUUGAAGCCAUACACAAGAUCAGAACCUCACAUUUAUACUUAGAAUAAGCCCAAACCAGCUGUAAUAAUCCAUAUCUGCAACCUCUGUUGAACCCCUGCAACAAACCACACAAUCCAACACUCGAAAACGAUAGUCUUUAUUCAUAAUAAUUACCCAAAAUACUCAAUUAUUGUUAGGAACCUCUCAUUAGCUAAGGUCUUGUUCCAGCACUUUCAUAUACUACCUUUGAUGAUGAAACACACAAUAAAUUUUGUGAAAAUUUCUCGGACCAAUCAUUUAUGAAGUCACUCCCAAUUUAGCUACUAUCACAAUAGAUUUUCGAGCCGCACCUCGAUACUAACAUAUUAACAAGUUGAAACCAAAUCCGUUUGUAUCCAUUAAUGACUCAAAUGAUCCCCCUUAAAUCUGACAUACCACUCUGGUGAUAUGACACCUUAAUACCGGCCUAAGCCACGACUUGCAUAAUACCCGCACCAUUAAGGAGCGACUUGAAUAUACUCAAAUCAUGAAAAUGACUCAAACGAAGGAGCUGUACCCCAAGCUCCUCAAUACCAUUACAACACGAAGCUGAGACCCCGUCUAACAUCAUAGAAAUAGAGUACAUGAAUCCACAUCGAUGGUUAUAACUCGACGUGGCCUCGCCUUAACGCGCGAUCCUAUCCAAACACCAUUUCACCUGAUGUUCCUCGGGUCAGCAUGCUCAAAAUAAACAUCCACGAACAUAUUAAUGUCUGAAACCAAGAAAUCCAUCACACCCACGGUGAAGAAAGUUAUAUACGCCAUUCAAUCCUAAAAGGACACAACCAAUGCGCUAUUCACCGAGCAACUCUCAAUACGGACUUCCACGAAAGCAAGUCAUACCAUAUAACAUAUGGAAACUAUCCUCAAGAUCACACUAUUACGACGCGCAACCCGAUCCACAUGACAUUCCCUAUGGCAGCAUGACACCUGAUCCACUAAAAUAUCUCACCUAGGGAGAUGCACAUGGAGCCGAAUUUUCUCAUUAUAACAAAUUACCGAGUAACGGUCGUAAGCACACUGAGUGCAUACUCAUAUCUACUUGUAGCGUUGUAAGAUACAAAACCCAGCUUCUACUAUGAAUCUCGAUAGCACCAAAAUAGAUGUGCCACUUCCCAAAAUCAUAACGUCUCGUACUACGUAAAGAAACUCAUAUCUCUUCCUAGAACACUAGUAGGUCCAAUAACAAUCGAAACAACCCAUCUUUUAUUAAUACUAUUCAGAGCUAACCGAGCCAACUCAAGCUAAACACGUAUUCAAUCAGCUUACCAACAAACUCAUUAGCAAGAAGCCUGAAGCUACCUCUUCCACUACUAUAACUCAUGCCAAAGUCGUACGAUACGGUGCUCGACACCAACUAAAUACUGAAGUCCACAAUCUCGCCCGGCAACAUGCCUGGCCACGAGGAACGCGUCCAAAAAGGCCCCUCAAUACCAAAACUGAAUCAAUGGAAAAAACCUCUGCACUGACAUUUGCCAUGAAGGCCCAAACAAGACAAGCAAUCCUUCUCAGCCGUCCGCUGGUAUUUUGAAUGCAACCCACUCUUGCUAUGACAUCACUAGAUGCACCUCGCCGCACAACCUGUGGCAUCUUCUGGCAUAGCCCAUAACACAAUCUUUUAGAUUAACCCAACUUUUAGGCAACCAGUCUAUACCCAAUAUCACAUCCAAAAUUUAUCGUAUCAACAAAUAAAAAUCCACUGUAACCUCAAAAUCCUAAUUGCCAAUAAAUGGUGCCAAAUACUUACUAUCCACAACCGCGGCAUAGACUGUAUCAGAGAACUCCUAGUUUCAAACUCCAUAUAUCACACAAAUUAUAAUACCCGGUCCCAUAGUCCACUGUAUGAAUACAUAUUACAUAUCAAGUACCGAUUCAUUCCACGAAAGAUAUUCUACAAUUUCCCUGUGCCAUCAGCAAACUCAAAUAUCAACAGUUGGUCCAACAGGAAACUACUAACAUCCCGCCGAAGUGUUAUCAACUUAAUCACAUUGCCCUUCUUCUCAAACAUAUACCCUCAUCAAAUCACAAUGAUUAGCAUCACCAUUUACUUGGUCAUAUGAGGACCAUCAACCCUAAUCAUCUGAAGGUCGAUUCUUACAUAACCUGCAUCAGCCCGUGCUACUUAAGAAUUUAAUGACUUUCCAUUCUGAACCGAACCGUGCCUCACACACACAAAUCCCAAUCCUCCACAAUAUAUCACAUCUACCAUACCACACUCGGAUUACCUAUGGAAUUUUAUCUCCCUUCCGCUCCGCAGACAUCGACACACUCAAUUAGUCGAGAACUUUCAGUGAUCCCAUUUAGAAGGAAAAUCCUUACACCCUUCACGCUUCGCAUACCCACAAGAAAUAUACUCAUCUUUAAACCACGAUAAAACUCAAGAUGAAAAUCUAUGCGAUCUGUAUUUGUACAAGCUAAGCUUCCAGGACUGAAUCCUUCUAUCUAACCCAAGCUGAGCAAGCCGUAAAAACCCAAGAGCAUUGCUUCAAAAUGCCUGAAUAAGGUCAUUAUCUCGAUCACAUACACAGAAUUAAUCAUACCCUUACCAUAUCGAUUCGGCCAAUUAUCAAGUUGUUAUGUCUAUCAAAUUUCUCUUUAUUUUUAUUCAUCAUCCACUUGGUAUUUCUCCCUCGCUAUAGCACCACUUUGCCUUAAUCCAGGAUCACCACAGGAGCUUCGUACAUAAGACCACAUUUUCAAAGACCCAUAGUCCAAAGAAAUGUUGUCUCAGACUUUCCCAAAAAUACCAUGUUCUAGAAUGCAUUACUUUGAAGAACUUCCUACGAAAUCCGAAUUUGUUACUAUUACCUUCCAGAUACCGAUAUAUAGAAUCCCAUAAUCGACAUAAGAAUACCACAAGACUCAACAUUUUCCAAUAAAAAUACGGUCUCUGACCACCACACACCUUGGAGACACCCGAUCAUUACAUGCCAAAUCUCGUACACAAUAACACCGUUCUCGAGAGUCAUUCACUCUUAACUAUAAAUUAUCAAACUUACCGAACAUGACUACUCGUGCCUUAUUAGCAUUCUGACCCCACAUAACAUAAUCUUUUCCAAUACCAACACCUUCUUCCCUUUCUAUACACUGAGCAUUGUUUAUCAACACAACUCAAGAUAUCCUAGUAUUUUCUCACAUCUUUGAAGCACCAUGUAACCUUUAUCGAAAUUAUGCUCCCCUCGCGCCAUCCUCGGCUCAUUUUCUGCAACCAGGACUGCUUCGUCAGCAUACUUCGAAACGGAAAUAACAUAGUACAUAACCAUGUGAUCACCUAAUCAACGGCAAUCUCCCCAACUUGGCUCGAAGCCAUCUUAUCAUGACACACUUAAUAACCCAUAAUACUCUUACUCUAAUAAUGCCACGAUAUUAUUGUGAGAUUAAACUCGAAUAACUACUAGUUUAUGAAAACACAGAUCCUCGGAUAGUGAAAUCCUAUACAAACCACGCAUUCCUCCCCACAUCAGUUCAGUCCACACUCUCAGAAGCGACUCAAAUUUGCAAAUUACAACACGCACCUUUCAAUUUCACAUGAGAUCCUCUCAUACCAUACAUAUGAAUUGCAUCACUUCAGAGCACCCCACAGGAGAUAACCUACCUAUUUCGCCUUAAUAUAAUAUUUCUUUAUACCUUCCAUCAUCAUACACAUUACAUAGCUACUUAGUCUUUUUUAGUCUGAACUCAUAUCUUAUCAUGCAAUUUACUUCACUCCCACUAUGAGACUUGAAAUGAUUCUUCAUGCGCUUGUAUUUGGGCUACACCUCGAACAAUAAUAGGAAACGAAACACUUAAAAAAGCAUCCAAUAUCACGCAGACUUCUUCGUCAUCACCAAGACAUAUAAUUGCAUCUCGCAGAACUAAAAUACUCAUCACACAAAUACCAAACUGCUACUCCGGAUAAAAGCAAAAAUACUGAACAUAUACAUUAAAACACUUUGUCACACGAUCAUUACCUCAGUGCUCAAGCCAUAAGCAAGAUCCGGCCUCAAGUCCUCUAGGCUAGACUUGCCCAACAUCAACCUCACAAAGAUUACAUCUCGCCCUUCGAUCAUGGAAUCGCAAGGCAUCAAGGCACAUAUAAUACAGAGCGAUCAUGCGUGCAUACAAAACAUGAGGAAGAAAUUUCAAGGGUUAUAUUCCAAGCUGAAUCAAGUAUGCACGAUAAGAGUUCCAAGAAAGUGAAGUUUUUCCUAAAGGUUCUGCAGCCUACCGAGGAUAAGUACUGACGUCUCCGUACCGAUCCAAAAGACACUACUAACCGGCUCAUGACUCGCGAGACCAAGUAACCUAGGCUCUGAUACCAACUUGUCACGACCCAAUCCCGGUUGUGACGGUGCCUAACCCUAAAGCUAGGCAAGCCUGACCAAUAAUCGCUGUCAAUUCGACAAUAAGUCUCAAAAUCGACAAUUUAAUGAUAAUGUAAUAUUUAUAAAAUAGAAAUCCAAUAUUUAUAGAAAAAUAAUACGGAGAGAUACGAAAUCUGAUAAAACACUCCAAUAAGAUCUGGGGUCACGAGUCUAGAGCCUCUAUAACAUAGGGUGUGCAUUCGAAUUAGUUUAUCGAUAAAUCUAAUCGAUUAUUUAUUAUCGAUUUAACGAUAAAUCUAAUCGAAAAAACUGAAAUCUUAUUGAAACGAUAACAAUAAGCAUUUUUACAAAGCAAUAAUCGAUAAGGGUCAAAUUCGAAUCGAUAAAUCGAAUGCACGCCCCUAAUUAUUUCAUCCACCACAUUUAAGAAAUGAUCAUAUUCAAAGGUCAAGGGAAUGAUCUUCAAAUUAAUGGAAAAUAGAAUUAGUAGUAAUAAUGUAUUCUUUUUAAUACCGUUGAAGUAUUGGUGACAUACAUUUGAUCCCUCACUUUAGUUUCAUUGCAUGUGCUUGUUGACACAAUUUUGAUGUUAUAAAUGGUGUCCGUCUUAUUUUAGUUUAUUUUUCUCCAUAUUAGUUAGGCGUAUUUAUAACGAUAUACUUUCCGUGAAAUCCCGUAAAGUUUCUUAUUGGUGUAAUCGAUAACCGAAUCGAUAAGCCCAAAAUAUCAAUAAAUCAAAAUCGAAAAAAUAGAAACCUCAUUGAAACGAUAAUGAUAAGCAUAUGUAUAAAUCGAUAAUCGAUAAGUAAUUAUCGAUAAGGGUCAAAAUAGAUUCGAUAAAUCGAAUGCAUACCCCUACUAUAACAAACUAGAUAACAAUAUUUGAAUGAGAAUACAAAAGUCUGGAUAUAUAUAUAUUUAGUCUAUACAAUGCAAGAAUGCAAUGCAAUAUACAUGACCCACUGUUGCAUACAGCCCAAUCCAUUUAAUAUCGACGACGCUCACUUGGGGUGUGUACAGACUCAGAAGGGGCUCCUACAGCAUAAGCGCAAUAUCAGCCAGGUAUUGGCAUAAAAUAGGCUCUCGGCCUCCAUAUCAAUAUAUAAAAAUUGCUACGGCAUGUAGCUCGAUCUAUGCUCAGUCCAUAGCAUGCAAAUGUGUCACAUAAUAGAUUCAAUUAAAUUCUCAUUUUCCAAUUAUUAAGGAAAUAUAAUUUAGUUAUUUAACUUCACGAAACGUGACUUAGCAUUUAUAAUAGUGAUUAAUCAUUUGACUGAGAUCAAUCAUUAUACAAAUCAUGCUUGCACAACGAUAUCCAUCCUAUGAGGAUGUUACAGAUCGGCACAAGGCCCCACACAUGACAAUAAGCCUAGAUAUAUUCAAUACAUGGUGUGUAUCACUCGCCAAUAUAGUAAAAUUCUUGUUCGGGAUGGACCAAGCCACAAUCCCAAGUCAUAAACAAACCCUGCACCUGCCAUGGGGUGCGAGUCACGCCCUAAUAUAGCAUUAAAAUGUGAUAAAUCAAGGUUUCAAACCGUCAGUCCAUCAUCUAUGCAGACCACUCACCUCUAAUCGGCUAUAGACUGGUUCGCAAUGCCUUUUCCUUUUGUAUCGACCUCCUCGCACGUCGAAUCUAGUAAAAAUCACAAUGAAUACAUAAAUAAGGGACAAAGAAACAUAACCAAAUCAAAAUUACUCAAAAAGUUCUAAAAUUCACGAAGUUGGUAAAACUAAAGCCCCGGGACCACUUCUCGAAAAAUUCCAAUAAUCACAUCAACGGUUUUCUCGUCUCUCCACAAGUCUGUACACAUAAAAUUCACCAAAAACAGAGUUUAAAUGGCCUUUCAAAUCCCAAAAUUUGUUUUCAAAAAUCAAACCCUAGUUCUUCACAAUUUCAACCAAUUUUCAUAGAUUUGAGUGUCGAUUCUUCAAUAAAAUGGUGUUUCUAGGUUAAGAGACUCACCUCCAAUCAAUACCCAUGGAAAGCCCUCUUCAAAUCGGUCAAAACGCUCUCUUGGCGAAGUAAAAAUGGUGGAAAAAGUGUUGGGUUCGCGACUGAAAUGCCCUAAAAAACAUUAUGUCCAGCUGAACACCCCUUCAUCGCGAUCGCUAUGCCAUCUCGCAUCCGCGAUGGCAAAAAAAGGAACUAGGCCAAUUUCCUUCAUCAAGAAUGCGUGCCAGGGAUGCGAACGCGAAGCACAACUUAGGACCCCCCAGUAUUCCCUCUUCGCGAAUGCCUGGAGCCAGACGGGAACGCAGAGGCAAACGGGCCCCAACCUACGCGAACGCGGCCUCCCUUCGCUAAUGCGAAAGACAAAAUUCAUUGCUUUCCAAUUCCUUCUACGCAUUCGCAACAUACCCCUUUGGACGCGAAGCACAAAGUUCUGCAACACCACAACAGAAAACCCGCAAUCCUCUAAGUCCAAAAAUAGCCCGAUUGACCAUCCAAAAUUAUCACGAGGCCCUCGGGACGUCAACCAAAAGCAUAUGCUAUAAUACGUCAUUCAAACUUGCUCGAGCCAUAAAAUCACUAUCGUAAACAUCAAAAUCAUCGAAAUACCAUAGAUUCAAUCCUAAGUUAAACUCAAACUUUCGAAACUUGCAUUUGAUGUAAAACCCGAUCUAAACACCUCCGAAUGAUCUCAAACUUUGCACACAUAUCUAAAAUCACCUAAUGGAGCUGCUACAAUUAUCAGAAUUCCAUUCCGACCCCAGAUCAAAAUCUCACCUAUCAACCAGAAUUCGCCAAAAUUCAAACUUCUCCAAUUCAAGCUUAAUUCUACACCGGACCUCCAAAGUUUCGAUUGCACUCCUAAGUCACAAAUCAUUACCUGACACUAGACGAAUCAUCGAAAAUCCAUUCCGAGACCUCUUACUCAUAAGUCAACAUUCAGUUGACUUUUUCAAACUAACCUUAUGAAAAAUACACUAAUUUUCUCAUUUGUAACUGAACUAUAUCCGAAUUACUUCAAAUUCUGCAAACACAUAUAAUAAAAUAUAUAGAAUAAUAAAAUGGAGAAUAUGGGACGGUAAUUCACGUGAUGACGGGUGAGGUGGUUACAGUAAAUAAAGGUGGCGAUCUUUCAUCCAUGCAGUUGGAGGUAAGGCUUAACCUCGAAAGGCAGAAUGGUAGUCGUAUGCAAUGCAACAAUGCAAAUGAAAGUAGAGCUUAACCUCAAAAUGAAGAAUGGCAGCCUUAUGCAAUGAAAGAAUGCAGAUAGAGGUAGAGCUUAACCUCGGAAGGCAGGAUGGUGGCCUUAUGAAAUGCAACAAUGUAGAUGGAGGUAGAGCUUAACCUCGGAAGGCAGGAUAGUAGACUUAUGCAAUGAUUGAAUCAAGAUAGAGGUAGAGCUUAACCUCGGAAGGCGAAAUGGUAACCUUAUAUAAUGCAAGAAUACAGAUGGCGGUAGAGCUUAAACUCAGAAAGCAGGAUGGUAGCCUUAUGCAAAGGAAAAUGCAGAUGGAGACAAUUUUAAUCUCGGAAAGAAGAAUGGUAGCCAUAUACACGAAAUAAAAGGCAUAUGGUAAUAGAGUUUUCUUAGCUGAUAGCUGAUUGCGAUAUUGUGGCUACUGGGGACAUUGUGCCUACUGGGGACACUACGUGCGGAUAGCAACUAUGUGUAAGUGAAAUGGUUUUGAGAAUUGAGUCCCAUGAGUGUAUAGUAUAUUUGAUGAUUUUGCAACUCAAGUGCCUACAUCCAAACAAAAAUCAUAAUUUUUGUAGAAGGGGGAGGUUAGUUCAUACUCUCGAUGGCUCUACUUGACCUGCCUGGCUUCUUUUUUUCGAUACCGUACGAAUCAUUGGGGUAGCAUUUGCUAGACAAGGAAGUUUUUGUAAUAAAAAUGCAUGAUUUUGUUGAAAUAUGAUAUGAAUAGAUAAUUCAGAAUAUUUUUCUUUAGAUGAACCGACAACUGCGGCAUGGUUCAAGACAUUGUGACCUUUUUUGCCACAAAAUUUUAGGGUCCUCCUCAAAAUUCAUACCCAUUUUACUGGGUUGAUGCUUCUGACUGUUGGUAGUGAUAACUGGCUGAAUAUCAACUUUGCAAUUUUGAGGGUCCUCCUCAAAAUUCUUCCCAGUUUCCAAUUGUGGGAGGGGGGUGGGGGUGGAGANNNNNNNNNNNNNNNNNNNNNNNNNNNNNNNNNNNNNNNNNNNNNNNNNNNNNNNNNNNNNNNNNNNNNNNNNNNNNNNNNNNNNNNNNNNNNNNNNNNNNNNNNNNNNNNNNNNNNNNNNNNNNNNNNNNNNNNNNNNNNNNNNNNNNNNNNNNNNNNNNNNNNNNNNNNNNNNNNNNNNNNNNNNNNNNNNNNNNNNNNNNNNNNNNNNNNNNNNNNNNNNNNNNNNNNNNNNNNNNNNNNNNNNNNNNNNNNNNNNNNNNNNNNNNNNNNNNNNNNNNNNNNNNNNNNNNNNNNNNNNNNNNNNNNNNNNNNNNNNNNNNNNNNNNNNNNNNNNNNNNNNNNNNNNNNNNNNNNNNNNNNNNNNNNNNNNNNNNNNNNGGGGGUGGAGAGGGGGAAUGAAUUUUUUGUUGAAUUGUGACCAAUCGCAUAGGGCUACCUAUGUAUCCCUGUAAGACCCCGUGAAAAUGAGUGCUAAAAGCAUAGCAACUCAUAGGGUCAGGUCCACCUAUGUGUUGGGAUGCUUUCUACUGAUUUUAUUCUUAAAAAUCUAGAGUCAAAGUUUUCCGGAAAAAUGUCAUUUCUGUGGUCAAGAAUGGGGUCGCAGAUCUGGUGUGGCGACCACAUCUCAGCUGCAGAGUUAAUCAGAGAGUUGGCUAACUUUUAUGUUUAACAUACGGUCCAUUGUGCGAUCGCAUAUCCAAUAUGUGGACCGCAUAGUUGUCACAUAAAUUUCUCGAAGAUUUGUGAAGACCAGUUCUUAGGUGCAAUAUGCGACCACAGAACAGGAAUGCGGAUAGCACUCCCACCGCAUACCCAAGCAGAGCGGCCAGUGAUUUUGGAUUCUUCUGCGGUCCAAUCAGCGGACCGCAUAUCAACUCUGUUAUCGCACAGUACGACCGCAUAUCCUACACGCGCUUCAAUUUUCAAAAAUUUUAAACCCGAGCCCUUUUCUAAUAAAACACCCUAACCCCUAAUUUUUGCUUAUUUUCUGAACAAAACAACAGAGAGAGAAGAGAGCGUUCUUGAGAGAGAAAGGGUUCUUCAUCAAAUUGAUUCUCCAUAACUACAGGGACGGGAAAUUCUAAUUUACUAUCUUAAUCCCCACUCUUACAGGUAAAAUCCCUAACCUUUUUCCCUAAUUUUCAAAUUUGAACUUAGGGAGGGAGUCUCAAGCUUUGAUUUUUUAAAUAAUGGUUGGAAAGUCACAUGCAUGUCUUUCAAAUCAAAAAAUCUAUAAGGGAAAUUGGGUAGAAGUAAAGAACUGUGCUUGAUAACCUAGAUAAGCCAAGUAGUAAUUGUGAACAUCAAUUCUAAGGUAGAUGUGUUAAUUUGUGAAUUAGAUUGACGUGGCUAGAUUUCAUGGUGACUAAGAGUAGGAGUUUAAAAAGGGAAUUCGACUCAAGGUAUGUAUGCAUAACCUUGAUGCUUGUGAAAUCGCCUUGUUUGGUGUGUGAAUUGAUUUUAAUUUGAUAUCUUUGGGGGUUAUUUGUGAGCUUAUUGUGACUUGUAUGAGUUUGAAUGAAUCUAGUGGUAAAAGUCGAGGAAAAAUGAUUUAAGGAAUCAUAGAUUGUGAAAUCAGAACAACUGUGGCAACCAUGUACUUGAAUUGUUUUUGGCAUUUGUUGUGGUGACGUGAAGUGCAUAUAGACUAUUGAAUAUGAUGGAAUUGGUACUGUUGGUUAUGGAAACACUUGUAACAUUGUUGUGGUUAUGUAUUGAUAAGUAUUUUUGUUAUCUUUGUGAAUUGAUUGUUGUGGUUGUGUUGUUCAUGAAUUGAAACUGAAAGGCGGGGUCGGGUAGCGUGCCGUAACACGAAGUUAUAAGGUGUGGGUUAUGGUGAUAAGGAUGGCCGAGGUAAUAAGGGUGGUCGAGAUAAUAUGGGUGGAAAAGUGAUCGAAAUGAUUGUUGAAAUAAAUACUUGUGUAAACUUGUGAAACCAAUAUUGUGGAAAUUGUGGAAAGGGGAAAAACAGGAGAGUGUGCAAACUUGUUUGGCUUGAUUGUACUUUUCAUGUGUAUGUGAAUUGAAAUUGUACAGCAGAGUCGAGUUACGCGUCGCAACACGAAGUUAUAAGGUGUUGGUAGUGGUGAUAAGGGUGGCCGAGGUAAUAAGGGUGGAAAAGUGAACGAAAUCAUUGUUGAAAUAAAGACUUGAGUAAACUUGUGAAAUCACUAUUGUGGAACUGUGGAAAAUGGAAAAUAGGAGAGCGUGCAUACUUGUUUGGCUUGAUUGUACAUUUCAUGUGUGUUUGGUUGUUGCUUCUAUUAAUUUUUCUACUUGUGUACGGCUUGACUUUACUCGGGACAAGGUUUUUUGAUACAUAACAGUACAAUUCAAAUGUGCUGACGUCCAUUUUGCCAUGGGCGCUAUAUUCGUGCUAUGAUUGUAGGUGGAUCUAUAGCAGGUACUCCAGUCCACCAUCUGUAGCUCUUUCUCAUUCCCUAUCAGCUGUAUUGGUGAGCCCUUUUCUUCCGGGUCCCUGCGUGGCUCAUGCCGCCUCUGUUCUUGCAUUUUGAGAUCUUAUUUUGGUAUGUGUAAAAAGUAUAGUCGGAGCCUUUUUACCGGAAAGUAUUGUAUUAUCUUCUUCUAUCUCUAGAGGCUCCGUAGACAGGAAAUGUGGGUCAUGAGCUAUGUAGUAUGUACUUUGUAUUUUGGGCAAUGUAAAUUGUAAACCACGCUAUGUCAUCUAUAUUAUGUAUGCUUUGUAAAAGGUGUUUCAAUUAUAAAUUGCACGUUCCACUCGGUUAGUAAGAAAUGGUAAUAUGGGGUAACUCAUGGGUUAGGAAAGGUACUCAGGUCCGCUCGACCGGGGAUACCCGGUCAAGUGCCUAUUGAUACCCAAUUUUCCCUAUAUAUUUUUUGCAUCAAAAAUGCUUUCCAAAUAGUAUAUGUAUGCAUAUAUAAGCAUUCCUAGGAAUUUUGGAAUUUUCCUUAAUUUUUUAAAGAUUUUUAAAAUCAAUUCAAUGAUUAUUUUGGACAAUAUAAAGGCCAAAAUUAUUUCUAAAUUAUUAUUUUUUAGUUGCACAAUGUGUUUCAUUCUAAUAUUUACAACAAGACAUAAUUAAUGUAAUUUUUGCACAUUUUUUACAAAUUUAUUUGGAUUUUUAAAUGCUAAUUGCACAAAACUACAGGCCUGUUUUGCAAUAUGCUAUGUUUUGCCGCUAUAAAAUUAUUUCUAAUAUUAUUAGAUUAAUAUUUAUAUGUUAUUAAGUAGUUAUAUGCUUACACUAUUUUGGCUAUUUUAUAAAAUUAAUUGGGAAAAGAGGCUAUUUAAAUUAUAUCCGGAUUUUAUUUAAAACAUGACCCAAAUUCAACCCCCCCCCCCAGGUCAGCCUAAUUAAACGACCUAAUUUUCCAAAUAACCCGACCCAUGACCAUUUAAACUAACCCGCCCAGAGCCCUCUUUAAUUCGUGGUCGUUGAUCAUUUAAAUCAACGAUCCAUAAUAGCCCUUACUUUUUUCAACCAGAGACCACCUCCUAACCCUAAUCGUUUUUCACCUUCAGUCGCCCUUGUAUUCCCCUCCUCUCUCAAACGUUCAUAACUCCUCUCUGAAACUCUAGCCCUCUCAACCGUUCCCCGACCUCUUUCUACCAUAAAUCAUGGCCUUUCAGGCCCUGUGUAACCUAUAUCUACCCCCACUCGCCCUUAUCCUCAUCUUGCGUGAGGAUUCGAGGCCAGAACUUGAAUUUCUCCAGUUCAGAAGACCUCUGAUUCGAGUUUAUGGCCCUUUCCAAUUCAUCUUCGGCGAGUUCUAGCCCUGCGAGUCAAUCUCUAACUCAAGACUAGCCCGUUCCCAGCCUUCUCAUUUUCUAGGGUUUUCUCCGAAACCCUAAGCCUCGAGGUUUUCCUGUUUGUCUCUAAUAUCUACUGUCGAUCCGUGCUAUUUUGUACGAUUUUUAAGUGUUUCUCACAUCUUUUUCGAUUUUUUCUUUCAAAACUGUUCAUCUUCUUAAAACAUAGGGUUUCCAUGAUUUUUACUUGUUCUACUGUGAUUUCUUACAUUAUUUGGCUUUUUUUGUAAACCCUAAUUGUUUUGACUAUGAUUUCUAGGUAUUUUGUUUACUAUAUUGUCUUCUAGGGUUUUGAGUAAAUUCUCUACUGUUCCUUCUUUCAUUAUGCUUGCAUGAAUGUUUGUGUUCUUUUGACGUUCUGAUUAUAUUCUUUGCUUGAUUCUCUAUGGUUUCAUCUAUGAGGAAGAAACCCUAGAUUUUGGGGGGUUUCAGACUACUUGUGCGCGAGUAUUUUUCUUCCUGUUUAAUUUUAAAAGCCUAAUCCUCUAAAACUCGGCUCAUGUUUCUAAUCCUUGCUAAGCUUUACAAGACCUCUUGAUUUCUCGCACAUCUAUGUUCUUCUACUUUGCAUCACUAAUCUUCUUAUUUUUUAACCUCGCAUGUUUAAGUUUAUGCUCCCUUUUAUAGUCAAAUAUUUCUUUCUCUAAAAACCCUAAUUUUGGGGGAUUCGUUUUCUAUGAACUUGCUUGAUUCUCUCCUUGUCUGAUUUAGACCUAUAUUCUGACUUAAUGUAUUGCUGAGUUCGAAUCCCUGAGUCUUGAUUACUUGAUUUUACCUUUACCUUAUUUAUCUAACCGUGUAUUUUUUAAAGCGUCUCCUAUGUAUUUACUCCUUAUUUAACCAUGUGUUAUUGAUUUUAUUUCCUUAAAUAUCACUCUGCCCUCUCUUAUUCAAAUUUGAAUUCCUUAAUUGAAGGAACUCCCCUCUCCUAAUUGAUUCUGAUUAGUAUUGAAUUAUAUUAUUCCUUACUUACCACUUGUCUUCAAACUAUAAAGACCCUACUCCUUAUCUUCAAACGACAUAGACACGAAUAAUUUUCAUAAGUUCAUAGUAAAAACUCCCUCUUCUCUUCUCUAUUUUGCUCUGUUAGUUGUUCUACUGCUUGUGUUAGCCAGCUGAAAGCCAAGGCUAACUAUAAGAUCCUACUUUUUCUGUUUGCAUUGCUGUUUGAGACUUGCAACUGGUAGGUUCCAUGAUUUAAAUACCACCUCCAAACUAUGUGUAUACUAAUGCUUUUCAUAUAUUUGCUUGUGCUCUAUUUCCCUACAUCAUGCAAUUGAACUUUAGCGUGUUUACUUACCCCUAUCACCAUGUCUGUUUAUGUUUAGAAUGUAGUAAAAUUUUAGCAUGCACAUCCCUACCCCUUAUCCCCCAUGUUUUUGAUGUUAUAUGUGUGUGUGCUAUUAUCUGCCUGCACAUCCCUUUCCCUAAAACCCCUAUAGUUUAACUAUGUUAUGUUUGUUUGUGCAAGUGCUUUCAUAUUUGAUCCCUUUCCCUGACCCCUUUUGUAUGUGAGUAUUGUUUUGGACUAGAGUGGUACCCUAUUGCCACCUCUAGUUCAGAACAAGGUUGUUCUCAACCUAUACUCAAAGUAAUCCCACUCCAUUAACCCAAAAUGGAUUGAAGCAGCAUCAUACCUCUAGUUCAGAACCAGGUUGUUCUCAACCUAUACUCAAAGUAAUCCCACUCCCUUAACCCCCCACCCCCAUUAUGUGUUGAGCUUUGACUCAGGUCUGUUAGUGUCCUAAUCACCAUACAGGCCUAAGUCUGACUUAUUUCAAGUCUGGUCAUACUUGCUAAACCAUGUAAAGGGACAGGGGUUUACCAGUCCCAAUCAUGGCUAGGCAUGACCACCUUGCAUUAUGUUGCUUCAAGACUCCCCGGGCCUGUUGUAGUUCUGAUGUUUUUAUUUAUUUUCUUUAAGUCCUUUCUUUCAAGUUUUGUAAUAAUUGUGUAAAAGACUUGGAAGGGUGUGGGAAGGGCUUUACUAUUUCUGCACAUGGCAAAGGUUAGAAACCAUGUCUAUUGCAUACUAUUCUUAAUCAUUUAGAAAGCAUGCCUAUAGGACUUGCAUAUUUUGGUAAUCUAAUGCAAAUAGAAAUCUUGCCUAUAUGAGUCGCUUAUUUUGUAAUCAAAUGCAUAUAGAAAUCCUACCAAUAGGCUUGCGUAUUUUUGUAAUCAAAUCCAUAAAGAAAUCCUGCUUAUAGGACUUGCAUACGCGAUAGGCAAGUUAUAGGGUAAAACGCUCAGUUAUUUAUUAACUUCUUUUAAAAUCAGAAGUAAUAGACAUCGUGCCUAUAGGGGUUAACUGCCAACACGCCUUAUUCGCUUAAUUAAUACCAGUCAGUCAUAUGAGCUCUAUUGUCUUUCUCAAAAUAACGUUUUUGCAAACUGUUAGCUAUGCAUGCCUGUUAACGUCCUUCAAAACAAAUUUCGCCCAAAUGAUUUUCAUUCUUUGAAACAGUCUUUAAUGUAAAGUUCUGCCCAAAGUGUUUUCUCUGAAUUAAUCUGCCUGUUCAAAUGCUUUGCUUUACCUCUGCAUAAAAAUCAUUCUGCCUCAACGUUUAUUCAGUUUUCGAAAUAAUUGUGCAACUCGCCUUUUUUUUAAUUGUGCUUUUCUUUUUGAUUUACCUCUGCAUAAAAAUCAUUCUGCCUCAACGUUUAUUCAGUUUUCGAAACAAUUGUGCAACUCGCUUUUUUUCAAAUCUGCUUAUCUUUCUGAAAAUUUCCUGCACAUUUUACUUAAAUUGUCUAUAAUUUUCGAACCUCUUAUUUCCUCUACUAUUUAUUUUUUUAAAGACUCCUCGCCUCUUUAAAAAUACGACUCUUCCUGAUAACAUGCCUAGGGAACUUGAAGGAGAUUUUCUCUCCAGUUUUAUGUGUUUAGCUAAUACAUCCGCGAUCAACUUUAGUACUAAGACCAAAUCGGUAUCUAUAAGUCAUGUUAGACUAAUUGCUGUUAUGAUUUAGGGGAUUUAUAUGAGCCUUUGAAUUUCAAAUUUGCAUACCUUUAUAUGUUAUUUGUUUUGAUUGACGCUUAGUAUUUUCACCUUUGAAAACUCCAUAUAUGUCCUAUCUUUCUCUCCCCCUAUUAAGUUUAGAAGUACUAAUACCCCGGGACUAGUAGUUUGGGGAGGGUAUUAGCAUGCAAUAAGUAAACGAUACCAAACAUGCUUAAUACCUUAAUGGGGUGGGAAUGUUAGAAUAUGGAGAUGAUGACGACGCGAUAAUAUCAUAAAGUGACACCUAUUUUGGAAUAUGUAUGGGAUAUUGUAUCGAAUGAUUCAUAUUAGAGUCAAACUUAGGACCUCUUUCUCUUUUCCUUGCUUUAUUUAAACAUUUUUCCUAAAUUAAUGCUUUUUCAAGUUAAUCAUCCCUUCUGCUUUAUUAAAAUUAUACCAUUUACCUUUUUACGAUACUCAAGUUAUUUGAAUGUUUAUAUGCAAACCUCUACUUGUUUAUUUGCUUCGUCUCAUUGAAGUCACAAUUAGCACGGCCGGGAACAACAUUAGUGGAUGUUGAGGGGUGCCUAACACCUUCCCCUCGAGAUAAUUUCAAGCCCUUACCCGAACUCUUGUUUUCUUUCAAAUACUCUCUUCUUCUCAAAAGUGUCCUAAUGCACUAUAAUCAUUAGGUGGCGACUCUUCAACUUACAAUACCCAAUGAUCAAAUGGGAAUAAGAGUUGUUUUGUCCAUAAUGUCGUAAACCCGAUUUUCCUUCUUUUUUAGUAGUCGGAAAAGGGGGCGUCGACAGCAUGGCUACUCUGCCGGCGAAUUCUUUAAGGCUUUCACCAUUACGUGUUUUGUGACUUUAUUGCUUUCUUUACUGAAUUUAAUUACUGCUUUAAUUAUUUCCUCAUAAUUACUAACUUGAUUCUUCAUGUUUUAUUUUUCUUUAAUUGUUUUAAUGCUUUAACUUUAUUUCGAUUCCGUCUUAAAUUUUGAGCAUUUACUGUAAUCAUUAUCUUAUGAACACGAAAAUACAUGUAUUUAUUUCAUUGUAUUAAUUGCAUCCUUCAACAUCAUUUUCCAUUCGUGUUAAACAAAUCAUAUAGGAACUCUUAUAAUGAUUGGUUGUGCUCUUCCAAUAUUAUGAACCCCCCUAAAUGUGGCAAAGGCAUAUUUGCGAUAAACCCAGUCGAUCAACGGUGUAGUGGACGGUUCGGUGCCUUUCCCUUUUGAGUUGUCCGCUCAAGGGUACCUUGUCCAGCACUUUAAAAGUAAAAACCUUAUUCUAUUAUAUUAUUCAUGCAUCAUGGUCAAAUUUAGUCGAGUCAGUUAUGUCGUCCGCGUGACUCAUUAAGAUAGCCUAAACCAAAGUCAAUCAGGUUUCCUGAAAUCCAAACGGACAUUCACGUUAUGUGCAUUGAUUUGGAGAAAUAAAAGCCUUUUGCUAAUUAUUGAUUUAAAUAGUCGAGUCCAGUGUUGUUGGGACCUAACACUCUUUUUUGAAGGAAAUGAGGCACGAGGUCCCCUGAUUCAGUAUGGUAUCAAACAUUCACCCAAAGUUACUAAGCUGGUUGGAAGAUCUGCAUGGUAGUGAUCGGGUUCUUGUCCGCAAGCACUUAGGGAAUCUUCCUUCUUUCUUGGAAGUUAGGCCAGAUAACAAGAUUGUGGAGGCUGUUACUCUAUUUUGGGAUAGUGAACGGUCUGUCUUCCACGUUGGGGGUAUUGAAAUGUUGCGGCUAUUAGAAGAAAUUAGGGGUCUAGAUGGAAUUCCUUGGGAAAGCCCGGCUCUGCUUAUGCCAGAAAACAACAAAGGUGGAGGUUUCCUGAAAAUGAUGGGGCUCAAGAAGAAUCCUACGCUGACCCGUCUUAAGGACUCCUACAUAUCCUUCGACUUCAUGUUUGAAAGGUUCGUACAUAGCAAAUACUAUCGCACUCACAUGGAUGAGUUCGCCCUCACCUUUUCUGGGGACAAACAUAGGAGUGCCUUUGUAUUGAUGUUCUGUUUCCUGGGCAUGAUAUUCUUUCCAAUGAAGAAGGCUAGAAUCCAUACAAGACUAGCUAUGGUAACCAAAGCCAUAAUGGAGGGUAUUGACGGGCAGGAAUUCAGCAUAGCACCCAUGAUCCUCAUCGAACUGUAACGAGCCUUAGAGAAAUGUCAACAAGAGGCACCAUACAUUAAAGGGUGCAAUUUGCUACUACAACUCUGGCUCAUUGAACAUCUUCAGAAGGAUGAUUAUAGACAGGGAGAUCAAACGCCGAGACUGGGAUGGCCAUAUCUCUUUCCAUCAUCCAAAGCAAAUGCACUUCAUGCCUGAUAUGUUCGCUUGCCCAGAAGACACCAGUGGAUGGGUAGAUAUAUUAGAGAAUAUGAGAUAUGAGCAGGUACAAUGGAUGUACGAGUGGUUACAAACUAAGUAAUUUAUCAUGCGAUCUAGGGAUGCGCCAUUCCUUGUAAUCAUCGGCUUAUGAGGAACUUACCCUAUAUGUCCUUCUCCGAGUCAUGAGGCAAGCAGGAAGAAAGCAGAUUAUACCAAUGGUGGAAAAGAAGAGUUACUACACGGCUGACUUACAAGAUGACGAUAGACCACAGAGGUGUCGGGUUCAAGAUAUGUGGCAUUCCAAACUCAUCUUGGAAAAGGAAUCU